CACCAACACCUCUCUGGCAGCAGUCACGAACUCCUGCUUAUUCUCAGGUAACUUCUUUUAUCGUUAUAGCCAUUGGCAGCCGACUAAACACACAACAGCAAUUGAUUUUACCAUUAAGCACUCGAUGACUAAAAACCAGUUUCAUAAAAAAAAAAAAAAAAAGUUGUAGCAUUUACAUUGAGAUUCAGUACUGAACAUUUUAAUUUGUGUCCCUAAUGAGUAGCUAUUUUCAGGUAAAGGUAGUACAAAAACCAAUUAUUUUAGCAAAGAAGAACGAAGUCUUAAAUAUUAAAGAGAACUGCAGUAUCCUUUUUGGGGAUGUAUGCAUUACAGGGUAAAGCCAGAAAAUUUUGUUGGGGAUGGAAAAAUUUUAUAUUCGAACUUCUCUAAUACAGUUCUAUCUUUUGAACCAUCCGGAGGGGCAAAUUAGAGGAGAAACUAUAACUUAUUCUUAAGUGUUCAUUUAUCCUUGAUCUUUUGUUUCUUUCAUGCUCUUGCUCGUAGGGUGCAUUUCGAGCUAGUGGUUAAUUAAAAUCUUUGUUAUGGCUGUUGCUGUUGUGCUGCUUUACCAAACUGUAUAGUUUGUUUUGGCAUAACCCUGAUAUAAACUAGUUAGAUGGUUAAUAUUUUUCAUCUAAACGCUAGGGUUUUGGAUUAGCUGCAAGAGUUACCUAAUCCAUGGCGCUUGUAGGUGAUUGUUUAUUUUUUAAUUUUAGGACAACUCAUUCUCAGGAGGAGCUUUUAGUUCUAGGGCAUUUUUAUUGUGUUUAAAUAUCUAAUUGUACUUGAGUUCUUAAUAAACUUUGGAUACUGUAUUGAAUGUUGUUUCUUAUAUAUUAUUUGCUACUGGUACUUAUUAGCUGUUCGCCAAGCUCAAGUCCUUGCGGGUUCUGCUUCUAUCCUUCUUAUUUAUCUAAUUUUUUUCUGAUUGCCUAUAUAGAAGAUAUCAAGCAACGAUCUAUUAGAUGAGGCAACUGGUUCCUUUGGACCAAUUCGUAGGCUUCGCCACAAGGCUUCUGCAGUUACUAAUUCCAGACGAUCGGGGUACUUAUAUCCAACCCGACAACCAGACACGAAGGUAGCAGAUUCCAAUGCUUCAGAAAGCAUUUUACCUGACAUGAAGAAGAAUCUGGAGCUUGGAGGAACAAGCACCAUUCCUCUAUCACAAUCAGUAGGAAACAACAGCUCUGAGUCAAAUCUUCUGAUUGUCCGUCCACAGUCCAGUCAGGUUGCUAGGACAAUCCUAGAGCAUAUUACUAGAAACUCACCUACUCCUAAAGAAAAGACUGAAGAGUUAAAGAGAGCAAUUGAAUGGAAAAAAACUCCAUCUUCCAAUCUACAAACGGUCAAGCCAAAUGAAGCCAGGAAUUUGGCCGUAGAGUUAGAUUCUCACAAAAAAGAGAAUCAAGUAGAUCAGAUCUCUCCCCCCCAACUGAGCAAUACGGGAAAGACUAUGUCCACGAUUCUUCCAAAGGAGAGUGUUGGCAGAAUUUCUGAUGCUGCAAACCAAUAUCCUUCCAGUCUGAAGUUUAGAUUUAGCAAUGCUGAACCAAAACACCAGGGUGAUGCAGGCUUAAAUAUUGGUGGAUCGUCGCCUAAGGUAUCACUGCAACUUUGGAAUUGGUUUUAAUUCGUUGAUGUAUCUUUGACUGACCUUACAGAUGCUUCUUUUUUUAUUUUUUUUCUUUUCAAGUUAUUAGCAUAACUGCAUAAGCUUGAAUUCUUAAUUUGUGGUUGAAUUUAUGGGCAGGUUGUUCCAAAGACCAUUCCUGUUCCAGCUGUUGGAUCUGAAGUGGGAACUCAAAUUAAGCCUUCCUCAUCUUUUGGUGGUAAACCUGUUUUUCCAUCCAUUACCAUCAACAAGCCUGAGUCAAAAUGGGCAUUCUCCUCUGACAGUGGUUCAGCAUUUACUUUCCCUGUUUCCGGUGCAUCCUCAGGAAUGCUCUCAGAACCACCAACACCGUCCAUCUUUCCAUCAACAACAACCAGCCUUGGGGGAAGUCAGCCUCUAUUACUGAAGCCUGAGACUCCAGUUCCUUCAUACAGCUUUGGCUCAAAGAACAGCCCUGGCCUUGUUUUCGCAUUCCCUUCAACAAACAACGAUACAAUCUGCACUGAAGCAUCAAAUAUAAAGUUCAGCUUUGGAUCCAAUGAUAAUACAAGACUUUCCUUCAGUGUUGGAAAAGAUACAGUUUGUUGCUAACUGAUUAGACUUGUCAAGUACAGUUUUAAGUUGAAUGUAGGGGAAAGAAACUUGUGGCAAGUCCUUAUUUCUGAAAAAAAAAAAAAAAAACAAAUAGGAAAUUGCUAAUUCAAUCAAAAUGAAGAAAACAACUUUUCUAUGCCAGUUGAUGGCUUUCCUUUAUGUAUACUUUCCAUUCCAUUGACAACGAGAUGGUAUGAAAGUAAUGCUGUUAGUUUUAAUGUAACAUUAGUUUAAAUAUUAAUCAAAAGUGUCACAUCAUUAAGUUCAACAAGAUUCCUGAUUUCAAGUUUUGUUUGCCUGGAUGGAUGUUGAGAACCUGAACCAGGAGAGGGAAAGUAGUUUCUCACAUGUGAUAUGUUUUUUUUUUUUCUUUUUUAGCCCUUUUGAUGCAGAUUCCCAAAGAAUUCCAAGAAAAAUCUGGGAAAAGGGAAUGGGAUACCUACAUCUACAACUACAUCCUAAUUCCUAUCCAAGAAAGAGAAGUAGAGAUAUUUGAUUGGAUGAUGACAGGGGUAAGAAGGAAAAGAAGAGGAUAGGACAAGAACAGGUACACGUGGCAGGCUUCGAAUCACAAGAUGAAGGAAGUGAGAAGGAGAAAGAGAGAAAGAAUCACAUGUUGGUGUAUGUAUGCGAUAUAUAAUAUAUAUAUAUAUAUAUUGCAGGUAACGAGGAAGUAAUUCCCUCCCCCAUCAACAAAGGUAAAAAAGGAAGAGAUAAACUGAAAUAGUGGGGGGUCCCUGUUACACCCAAAAUUUGAAGCACUGAUUCAUCAAAGUUGUGAUGAAUGAAGAAACAAACAAACAACCAAGGGGGGGGGGGGGGGGUUAUUUUUUUAGUGCGGAAGGAAAGGGGGUUUGGGAUUGUGGGGAAGAAAGUCAGAUUGAAAUGACAAUGGAAGUGAAAUGAAUGCGUUAGCAGACCAUGAGUGUGACAUUUCAGAUUCUAAAUGUCAGAAAGUUUCUUUCUUUCUUUUUUAAUUUUUAAGGGUUUGUGUGCAGCAGAGUAGAGCAGAGCAGAGCAGAACCGCCCAGUGGCAGCGGCCGCAGCAGCUGCACCACCGCUACCUCUGCUCCACUCUAUACUCUUUUUCUCAUGUCUUUUUCCAUACUUUUUUUUAUCAUUUUUUUUUCUUUUGCCAGCCAGCUUGUAAUCUAUCCCUACAUUCAUUACCAACCACUUGAAGAUCCCUAGGACUUUCAAUCAUUAUUAUUUUUCUUUCUUUCAAUAUAUCUUUAACUCAACCAUAAUUUAUUAAUUUGUUCAUGUUUUUCUAUUCUAUUCUCUCCUUCGUUAAUGUUGAGGUUGUGAGUGUGCCAUUCAGGGGUUCAUGUUUCCUUUCUUCUUACAUAAUAUAAUUAAAUAAUUAACCUAUACUAUUUUUCUUCUGACUUGAGAAUUUGAAAACUUUAUUAUUCAAAAGUGGCAAAUUUCUGGUUAUACCUUUAUUUUCUUAGUUUUAAAAAAUAUAUAAUUAUAAAAGAAAAAUCAUAAAUCUCCAACUUAUUAACAUACUCAUUCUCACAAUAAAUUUAAAUGUUGUAUUUCAACACAAUUCAAAUUAUAUCUAUAUAAAACUUAAUAAAAGUAUAACAUUUGUUAUUUAUUUUAAUUUUUUUGUAUAAUUUGUUUUUUAUCUUUAAUAAAUGUUAAUAAGUCUAAACAUAAAAAAUAAAAAGUAAAACUUGUCUACUAAGUUUCCAAAUUCUAAGAAUGUCUAAUAAAUUUUGUCUAAAAGUAUAUAUAGUUUUAAACCCUCAUUCUUGUUUUCAAUAGAUGGUUCAAAAUUUUAAAAUUAACCCUUCUAUUAUACACAACAAUUAAUUUAAGGGAAAAUUUGAAAAAAAUAGCAAAAUAUUUUAUUAUAACAGAGUACAUGUCACUACAUCUUUUAAAUUGUAAAAUCGGCAAAUUUAAAAGUAGAUAGCUUUUUGAUAUACCUAAUUACUUAUCAACAUAUCUGUCAUAUUUGCAAUAUGCACACACAAGAAAGUGCUAUAAAUUACUUUUUUCUAAUUCUUUUUGUCAUGCAAUUUUCCUUAAUAGAAUACUAGCUAGUUAGACCAUGAACUUUUAAUUUUAUAUUUCUUCAAAAUGUAUUUAAAAACAUUAAAUAGACCGGGGUUUUAUUAAACAUAAAACUAUAAAACUUCGAAAUCAAUAUCAUAUUUAGACUCAAACUAAAUUUUGAAAAUUUAUGAAUUUAUGGUUAGAAACAAAUUUUAAAAAACCUAUUAAACAAUACAUUUUAAAUUUUAGAGAACAUAUUGACAUAUACAUCAAAGUUUAGAGAUUAAAAUUGUAGAUCCAUCUAGUGUGUGUUAGUACGCAUACUUGAAGUGUAAAUAUUAAAAAGUAAAAUAGAUAAUAUGUAAAUUUAUAACUAAAGGAAACAAAUGCAAAAUGUAUGAACUAAAUAAUGGAAUAAUGAAGAUUAGGAUUUAAACCUUAGAAAAAAUAUAAUUAAAUGGCUAUCCAAUAUAGCAACGUUAUAACUGCAUAAUGAAAUGGUCACAUUACCAAAUUUGUUAUGGCAUCACGUUUGUCAAGUUUUAUUUAAUUAAAACAUAACGGUGGGAAUUUGAAUAUUAUAUAUGUUACAUUUUAUGUCAGUUGAGUUAUGUUCACUUUCAUUUAUAUUUAAUAUUAUAUAUGUUAAGAAAUCUUAAUGCACGUAAUUGAGAGUGAGUAUGAUGUGAUUGCUAAGAACGAACCUAACAUAUUUGAGAUAUAUCUAGUACAUUUAUUGAUCCCUAUCUUUUUACACUUUGUUAAAAGAACAUAUUAAGACAAUUAAUAUAUUUAUAUCAACCUAGUCAAUGUAAAAAUAACUCAACCAUUAAUAAGAUAGUAAUAAUGGAGUGAUUGAAAUGUGUGCUGCUAACGGUAGAACAAACAUUUUAAUAUAUUAUAAUAAAAUCCAUCGUUGAAAGAUAUUGAAAGUUAAUAUAAUUUUUUUUUUUUUUUUGCUAUAUUUACAUUUGUUUUUGUAAUGUGUUAUAUAUGCAAAUAAAUUUGAGCCUAAUUGUUAUUUUUUUGUAAUUGUGUAUCUUAAUAAUAUCAUAAUUAAAUUUAGGGUAAAAGAUUGUUUUGGUACCAACUAUUUGAAGUUUGUUCUACGUGUAAUCCCUUUACUUUCAAUUGGCUAAAAUUGUAUAAGUUUUUAGUGAGUUUGAGGUAUUAUGAUGAGAGUGGUAUGAAUGUGUGGAUUUAAGAGAGGUUUGGGUGCUUCUAUUAAUCUCUUUUACUUUUUAGUUUAAUUGUCAAUUUUUUAUUUUUAUGAUUGUCAAUUUGAGUCUCCAUUCUUCCAAUAGACCUUAAAAUUUAGUCUCACUUGUACUUUAUUGCUGAUUUCUUAAAUUUUGUUUAUUGUAAAUAUAGAAUUUUUAUUAUAUAAACUUUCAAAACCAUAUUCACAUUUUGUAUUUGGUUCCAUGAAUAAUAAUUUCGAUACUUAAGGUAAGAUAGAAAGUACGUGAAAGUAAAGUUAUAGAAUUGGACUGAACUAAAAUUAAUUUAAAAGCUUUUUCAUUCGAACUCAAUUAACCCAUGUGUUUAAGAAUAUAUAAUUCUAUUAUCACUAAUUUUGACGCAGUUUCUGUUUGGAUAAACAAUAGACUUUUCAGGGUUUAGGGUUUCAGUCAAUGGUUUGAAUAAAAAAUGAAAGCAAGCAUUGAUUUUGAAUCUGAAAAAGAAUCAUCUGUUAUUGUACCUUUGGUUAGUGCUUCUUUUUUCUCUUCUGCUGUGUCUUCUUUCUUUUAAUUGUUAAAUUAAGAAAAACAAAAUUUGAAAAGGGAAAGUGUGGAUGUUAUUUGAAAUUAAUAUGUGUGUGUGUGUGUGUAUAUAUAUAGUGGUCCAUGAUCUACUUUUGUUGUGUGUGUGUGUGUGUGUGUGUUUGACAGUGGUGAAUGGUUAAUUAUGGUCAUAGCUGCAUGCAGUCUAUUGGUAUUAUGUUUGGACAUAUAAAAUCUUUUCUUAGAUAAACUUUGCUUUUUGUGUCUCAAAAGGAAACACCUUUUCUUUUCCCUUCCCCCUUUUUUCUUUUCCCCCUCUCCUUCUCUGUUUUCACACUCUACAUUAUAUAAUAUAUAGUUUACCCUAAUCUUUUCUAACAUAUAAAACUUAUAUAUUAUAUAUCCAUCAUGGCUAUGCACAUUUUUUUCUUCACAUAUAUAGUUACUAUAUUAUCACAUUCUUUGGUCAAGAGUACCUAAGUAUAGUACUAAUUGAAGAAAAGUAUAUUGUAAACUCCUUUCAUAUCUAACUAAUACUUAUAAUGCCCUAUGUUACACUUUUUCUUCAAACAAAAGCGUUGUCUCAUUGAAUCUUAGAUACAAACAAGUUCUAUUCAUAACUUGGUGAAAUUUUUAAAAAAAACAAGUGUCAUGAAGGUUUAUAUUAUAAAAUGGACAAUUACAUGUGUCAAUAUGAAGAUAUAUACGUUGAGGGUUUUGUUAUUUUUUUUUUUUACUUUUAACAAAAUACUAGAGAGAGAGAUUCGAGGAUGUGAAUCGAGAUAUCUCAACUAAGUUGUCAUAUUCUUAGCACUUUCAUUCUACAAUAACACCAAUGUGAUACUAAAACAUAGGUCUCCGAUUGCACAGACAACCAAAUGAAUUUGUUAAAUAUGACCGAUGCUAUAACUAAUAAGUAAUUUAAAUAAGAUGGGAAUGCUUGGAAUAAUCAUACACAUAUCAUGAUUUUUAGUAAUAUUUUUCAUACCCAAAAAGAUUAUAUAUGGAUCAUAUUGAAGAGUCCAUAUCUUUCUCUCUAUUAUCCCCUUUAUACUUGAUUGGAAAGAAAAGUGAUUGAGAAGGAAGUGCAAGAAUUAUGCCACUUGUCAAUAUGAAUAAUGCUCCAAAGUAACAUGUUAAAUCAUAUACAUGUACAAACAAAAGCAAUUGACUUUCCAUAACCAAAUGCCCAUUGGAAGACAACACAUUCUAUUGAUUAUUUUUUUAAAUAACAAAAGAUCUGGAUAUACCGAGAUAUCUUACUGAGGUGGACACAUCCAUAACACCUUCAUCAUAUUCCAAUUCCAGCUAAUGCAUAUAUCCAAUCAAAAGAUUAAGAAAUUCAAUAUAUAAAAAAGAGCUAGAGGAUAGCUCAUAACAAAAAAUUAAUGGAGCUAAAUAUUACCACACCAACGAUUACACUAUCAUAUAUUUAAAUGAAUGGAUGAUUUAAAUGUGACUGACAUUAACAUUAAUAAAUUUAUUUAGCUAAACUAAAAUAAGAAUAGUUUAGUUAGUUAAAAUAUAUAUGAUAGCAGAAGUUCUGAUUCAUCUACUGAGAUUAUUUGUUAAUUGUCUAGUGAGGAAUUUACUUCUCUAUCAACUAAUUGAUCUAAAGUGAACCGGUUUCUACUUCUUUUGAUCUGGUAUAUAUUUAAAUAGAGGGUUGAAGAAUAAUGUUCACAAAGUUAUACUACACUAAUGCAUAUUUUGCAUAAUCUAACCCGUUAAUUCAGUUCACUUCAUUAACUUUAAAUUGACCAAAUUCUAAAAAUUCAAACGAAAUCUUAUUCUAGAAUAGAGUUGACUGAUGAUGCCAAAAGCGUAAUUUUCUGACUGAAAAAGUAACUUGAUACUGAGAAAUUAGUAGAGAGAUUGUGGCAUUUGGAUCAAGUAAUCAUAUUUUUUGAUAACAAGAGUGGAAAUGAUCAUAUAGUGCAACCCAAACUCAAAGAUGGAUAUUAUAAUAAUUGUCACUUCUUGAAUUUAAACAACAAAUUCAAGUCAUCAGCCUUUGUUUUCAUGGAGUAAAAAGAGGAAGAAGAAAGACAGUAGAAAUUAAGUAAUAAAACUAAUUAGAGAUGGAAAAAAGGCAGCAACUUUCUUUCAUAAUCAAACUGUCUCUCAUUUGUUUAAUAGUGCAGCCCUUGGCAUUAAACGCUCAGAACCCUGAUGCCAAGAAACAAAUAUUGAACAAUAUGAAAUGCAUAUUUAGUUUGAACGAAACUCAACAAAAUACAUUAAACAAAUUCAAAUUACAAGUUUAGUCUCUCAACUUUGGAGUUUUCGUCCAUUUAAUCUUUAACUUAAUUGUUUUUUUUUUUCUUUCUUAAUAUGAUAUGAGAGGAAAAAGAAAACUGCAGGUGCAAAGCUCAUUAAGUGGUUUCUAAAAUUAAUUGUGGAGUUCUGAUGAGAUUCAUGCAUUAUGACUAAAUUUAUGAUUUAACUUUUUUUUUUCUUCAUUUGAUUGAGUUUAAUUAGGUGAGAUGGUACAUGAAUUAAUAAGAACAUAAUAAGAGAAAUACUUACAUCAUCUAGCUUCACUUGAUUGUUGGUUUCCAACAUCAGACCAAAGUGAAUACGAGGAAAAUGUGCCCACUGAUCAAAUUUAACCAAUCAAAAUCCGAAUUGAAUAUGAAAAAAAACAAAAAAAAAAACUAGAAAAUUCAUCUACAUUGUUGUGCAAAAUUAAUUAUUACUAUAUGAUCAUCAAUUUUUGAACUUACGUUUUUAGCUGCCGUACUGAAUGCUUCCCUAUGGCUAAUCUCAGGAUUACUUGCUUUGAUCCUUUGGAUUUCCUCUCUACAACAUUAUAAGAAUCAUAAAUAUCAAAAUAAAUUCAUUAAAAUUAAACCCGCAACUGUUUUUUUUUCCCUUAAAAAAUUCAGCUUACAAACACUAAUACAUAGUUUAUGCUAUUAAUUUUUUGGUUUAUGAUUUGUUGUCAAAAUCUAAACCAAUUUUCUUUUUCUUUUAACAAUAUAUAUUAUGCAAGGCAGGAAGGAUUAACAAGGGUACCGAAGCAUCUCAACUUCCAUACCACUCUUAUCAUGUACUCCAAGAUAAAGGAAAGCCAGAGUGAAGCUAAAGAAAUCCAAACCAAUUUUGUAAACUAAAGAAAUAGAAAUUUUUACUAUUGUCAUAAAUAUGAGUAUGACGAGGGUUCUUAAACUUGUGUAAACCUUAGCUUAGAUACAUUUGAUGCAACUAGUAAAUCCUUCUUCUUUUAGUUUAGUGUUUCUUUUUUUUUUUUUUCUUUUUUUCUUUUUUUUUUGGUUAAAAAAAUGAAUUUGAUUAAAUGUUUAUGUAAAAAUGAGGAAGUGAAAAGGUUUAGUGAAUAAUUUGGAAAGUAAUGAGAUAAAGAAAGCAGUUAAGAAGGCUUUAGUUACUCACUUUAUGAACUGAUUAUAUGCAGAAGGUACUCUCUGCCUUUUCUCGGGAGCUGAAAAAAGAAAGAUAACAACAACUCAUACAAAAUUUUUAAUUAAUUCAAUUAAUUCAAAUAAUCAAGAAAAUUAUUUUUUUUAAAAAAAAGAAGAAAAUUGAAACAAUACUGACGUCGAUUCACAACCCUCUCCUCUGCUGGAAUUGUAGUGGGUACUCGAAUUUCCAUCUUAUUAACAUUGUUGUUACAUUUGGAUGAUGAUCCAAAAUCUCCUUGAAAAUCAGCUCCAUUACAACCGUAUAAGUUGUAACUUGGAACCUACAAAAGUUUUAUACAAACAACUUUCAUUGUCAAUUAGAGUAUAGCUUAACAAGAAGUUAGUAAGAAGUACAAAAUAUUAUUACUGGAGGAGUGGGAAAAGGAUAAAAGAAAGUUAAUGAAAUGAUGUUUCAUAAGAUAAGAGAAAUCAGAAGGAAAUAUUCCAACAUUGAAAUGACUGAAUCAGUUAGAAAUAAAAGCAUAUAAUACCUAGAUUUGCCACUUCAAUCCCAAAACACACAGUCAAAAGGGACUUUCACAUCUCCAUUAGAAAAAAAAAUUUACAAAAAUUGUUCUCUUUUUUUUUUUUGGAAGAGUAGAUGACAAAAACCUAGGUAUAUAUAUAUAGGUAUAGGGUAAUUAAAAUAGGUUCAAAAUCUCAAACCCCAAGAAAAAUAAUUACAGAAAACCUAAAAGAACCCUAAACCCAAAAAAGCACAAUCUAAGAAAACUAAGGCUAAAAGAAAAGGGGCAUUAAAAAAAAGGUUAAAAACACUUCUCAAUAAAAAAAACCUGAAAGACCUGAAAGAAAAUGUGGAAACUUGAUGGAUAAAAGAGUUAGACAUUGGGAUUAUAUGGCGGCUGUGGAACCUAUUCUAUGUUUUUCUUUAAUUACAAUAUGAUAUGAUCAAAAUAUGAAAUUACAAAAGAAAAAAAAAAGAUUAAUUAGGUGUAAGUAAAAAUUAGGGUUACCUGAACAUCUUGCCAAGAAAGAGAGUGAAAUGCAGCAGCCAUAUUAACGGACCACAAAUUUGUGCAGUGCCCACAUCGGACUGUCACAAUGUCAAACAAACUACUGCAUGGAACACUCACCUGCUCAUCAUCAUCGUCAUCAUAACAUUCGUUUGUUAAACCAAUAUUUAUAAGUAAAAUCUAUGUUUAGUUGACAGCAAUGAAAAUCAUUUGCGCAAGCUAGAAUUAGAUUCAAAAGCUCAAAGGUUUUAAGCCGAUGGAUUACGAGUCUAAAUUUUUUAUUUUUAGGAUGGAAAAACCUAGAAGGGUACUGUAUUUGGUUAGGGUUUUUCUUUAAUGGGUUGGAAAAAAGGAUUUGAUUUUUUUUUUUUUUUUUUUUUUGGGUAGAUGGGUUAGAAGUUUGGAGUGAGAUCUUCAUAAGUGAUUUCCCCAUUGAGGUAAAGCAGGUGGGUUUUCGAGGGCAUAGAGAGUGGCAUUUUUAAAGAAAAGAAAAGGGGCAUUAUACAUGACUUGUCUUCAUCAUCCUUGUCAUCCAAAUCCUCUUAUUUUUAUUUUCAUUUUUCAACUUUUUCAACUCUAUCAUAUCUCUUCUUCCCUAACAUUUCAAUCCCAAUAGUUUUCCUAAAUUUUAAAUUUUCUAAAAAAAAGCACACACACACACACAAAUUAAUCUUUCUCUCAGGCACAUAUGACUUUAUUUUGACUGCAAAACAAGAAGAAGAAGAAGAAAAAAGUCUAAAAAUGAUGGAGACUUGACUGAAUUGAAAAUCAAAUUAAACAAAACAUCAAUAGAGAAAUUUACAAAAAAAAAAAAGACCCCAUUUUUCAAAUUUCCAUCAAGAUCUAGAAAACACACAAAUUAGCCAAAAUUAACCAAAAAAAGAAAAGAAAUUAAAAGAAAGGAGAGAUGAUUAUAUAUAUAUGUGUGUACCGCAAGAACAAUAUUGCAAAAAUUGCAAGGGAUGUAGCAAAGUUGUUCAGGUGCAAUAUCGAGGCAAGUGGUGGCCAUGGAUUCGAACCAAUUAAUUAAACAAACAACACUCCUUUUUUCUUUUUCUGUGAAGAGAAGGAGAAAGGAAGAAGAAGAAGAGUGUGAAGAGAGAAAGAAGAAGAAGAAAUAAUAAUAAAGUAGAGAAGAAGAAGGUCUCUGAUGUCUUUGUCUUUUCAAUUUUGGAGAAACCCAAAUGAGAAAAGUUAAUAAUAUAUAGAGAAGCCCUUUGCAAGAAUAAAUCCCCUUCUUGGAUCUUACUGUAAAACUUUCACCUUUUUUUUUUUUAAUAAAUACAUACAUACAUACAUAUAUAUAUAUAUAUAUAUAUAUAUAUUUUCGAAGCCCUCAAAGUAAGAGAGAGAGAGAGAGGUAUAAAUGGAAGCUGAGGGAAAAUUAAAAAGGUGAAUGAAUGAUAUGUAAUUUGAGAAAAGAAAAAAGAGAAAUUCAAAGUGACCACUGAAAAUAUUGGGACCAAGAGAGGGAAAUUAAUGAGAGAAAAGGGAAGGAUAAAAGAAGAUAAUUGAGAAUAUAUCAUCAAUUUUCAGUUAAAAAAAUAGUUAACCAUAAUGCAUUUUGAAAUGGGUUUUAAGAGUUCAUACACUUUUGUUUAUCAUCUUAAAUUUAAACCUUCGAACUUCUUAAGGCUGCAAUUUUUUUUUUUUUUUUUUUUGAGGUAUGCUUAACUUUGACACCUAUGUUUUGUUUAGUUCUAAGAGUAUUUUCAAAAUCAAAUUAACAACUAAACCUUUUAUUUCUUUGAUAUUUAGUCAAUAAAAAGUUCCAAUAUUUUGAAAACUAAAGUAAAAUAGUUUCUAAAGACUUAUUAUAAGAUUACAAACAUUGCUUUUUAAAUGACCAAUAAACUCAUAUUAAUUAAUUAAAAGGAAAUAAUUAAGCAUAAAUUUUAAAUACAUAAAAUCAAGAUAAUGAGUAGAAUAGAGUAUGAAGAGUAUGUCAUUUUAGUAAAAAUAUUACACCCACGAGUCUAUCUCAUAUCUAAAUGCUAAUAAGUAAAAUAGAUUUGGAGUUUUUUAUAUUUUUAAUGAAGUGGAAAUGAUGACAAUAUUAGAGGAUGUCCACGUAGCCGAGAUGUUAUUAGAAAAAGAAUAGAGCUUUUUUUCAUAAGUAAAAAAAAAGGAAAACAAAAGAGAUAACAUAUAACAACAUAUGUUAUGGAGGAGGAUGGUCUUCAAUAUCCAAACACUUGAAACUGGACUUCCAUGCAUGACAAGCCACACAGUGAGCAACAUAACUUGUACUGUACUACAUAAAUAACUAGGUAAAUAUUGAAUCCACGAGCUUGGCCUUGUCUCUAUUAGUUUGAAAUGUCAUCAACAAAAGGUUAGGUUAAUUUGUUGACGAAAUGCCUCAAUCCUUUGGGGUAAUUUUCAGACAUUCAAGAUUCCAAAAGUCUGUUUCCACCCAAAAGAAAUAGGUCACCGUAAUUAACUAUAAUUUUCAAUGAGAUUCAAGCAUCGAAAUCAUAGACUCAUAAAAGAGAUUUUGGUAAAAUGGGUCCAUGGACCACCAUUUACAAGUUAAGUAUGUAUCAGAGUUGAUUCAAUAAGAGUUGCUUCCGGAGCUUUCAUCCAUCCAUCAGAGCUUCCAUAUCAUCUAGAUUGUGAGUGAGUUGUUGAAUCUGUAAACUGUCAGGCUAAGGAUUGUUGUUUUAUUUGGUCAAUAUAUAUUAAAGUCCCAUGGCUGUACCUUAAAAAAAAAAAUGAAGUAAAUUAAAUUUCAAUUAUUGUACGUUAUUAUUAACCAUUUUCUUUUGUAGAUUAAAAAAUGUAACAAAACAUAUUAAUUUGUUGGGAUAUAAUUAAAUCAAGCAAUUAACAACUUUUACUGUGUAACCGAGUGGUGGGGGUAUGACUUAGGGUACGUAAGGGAAGAACUGAAUCUCCAAUUUCAAUUCUCAAUUUAAUGCUUUCCCAAACUGUUUUAUUUACUGUUUAAUGUGUAAUAUCAAAUUCAUAUCCAACCAUAUAUUUAUAAUUCACAAUAUUAAUUCUCACUGCCAACUUCUUUAUUAUGACGUUAUAAUAUAGAAUUUGAGGUUUCUUUUGAUUGUAUUUUCAUGGGUUCUACAUGCAUGUAAGACAUUCGUACAAGAAGUAAAUUAACAUCUUGAUUUUUUAAAAAAAAUAGCAUGAAGCAUACAAAAUAAAUAAAGGAUGACUGUAUUUAGUGUAUUUAGGAAUUAAAGGGUGAAUUGUUUAUUUGAUAAUCUUUUCUACUCUUUUAUGUUGUUUUUCUAUUUUUUUUUUCUUUACAUUUUAUCAAAUAUUUCUAUUGACAUUUUUCUAAAAUUGAGAUCCCGACGCCAUGGGUUACACAAAUUGCUAGUUUUCUUUUUCCAUUUUCUCUUCACUUACACAUGGGGUAGAGAAAUAGAUCAUCACCUAGAUAAAAUGUACCUGGAGAAGAUACUAUUUUUUGAGGGAAGAUACAUUUUUUAUUCUCAACGUUUUGAGUUGAAGUGAAAUUUUAAAAUUAAUUUAGAACGUAAUUUAAAAAAGAGUAUUUUUAAAAAUAAUAAAAUAAAUUAAAAUAUUUAUAAUCUAUAAUAAAUUUUUUGGAUUCUAUUAAUAGACUUCUAUUAUUAUUAAUAGAAGUGUGUCACCCGCUGUACAUAUAUAUAAAUCAAAUGUUUGUUAUGGAUAGAAUACGAAUUUUUGCUCAAAAUUACUCAUUUUUACAAUUCCUUCUCAAAAAGAGCGAAAUUUAAUUAAUUAUAAUUCAAACAAUUCAUUUAAGUUAAUUAAUAGAUAUUAACAUUAAAAAUGAUUAUUCAGUGAAAAAUAGAGGUAAAAGUGUGAAUUUUAAAACAUAUGAAGCAAAUUAAAACAUAACACAAAUUUCAAACAACAAAGUCGUGAAAAUUGAUUAAACAGAAAUAAAGUUGUAUUUCAUGUUUUUCAGGUUUAAUUUGUGUUUAAUUAGUUAUUUUACUAUCACUUGACAAUAAAUUAUUAUUAAUUUAUUUUAUGGACAUGUUUACGUUAAAAAUAUAUUUUGUAGAAUUAUUGUUUAAAAUUAUAUUAUAAAAAUUUUAAAAAAAAGAUACGUUGAGUCAGCAGGUGUCCAUGCAUCACCAUGUCAUCCUUCCUCGUCCUCUAUUGUUAAUUUGCUUGGUAUAAGAUUUUUUUUUUCUUAAACUUAUAUGUAUAUGUAUUAUAUUAUUUAUGUUAUUUUAUUUCUAAUAUGAUUGGAAUGUAUGGACAUGUAGUUUGUGUAACAUAUGUUUUUAUAUGUAAGUUUGAGAUUGGAGGUGUAAAUUUGAGAUUGUAUGUAUGUUUUCUUUAAGUUUGAAUAAGAAUUAGAAUUAGAAUUUAAUAGUUAAUUUAAAUUUAAGUUUAAAUAGGAAUUUUUUUUGUUUAGUAUGAAUUAGUUUAGGAAUUUGAAUUUUAUAGUUAAUUUAAAUUUGAUUUUAAAUAUGAAUUUUUGUUCAGUAUCAACUAGUUUAAGAAUUUAAAUUUUAUAUUUGAGUUUAAAUAGAAAUUUUUGUUUAGUAUCAAUUAGCUUACGAAUUUGAAUUUAAAGUUAAAUAUAAACGUGAAUUUGAUGGUUAUCCGAUCGUUAUAGUAGUCUGUUUAUUUAUGUCAAAAAUUAGUUUGUAAUAUAUUAUUAAUUACUAGCUUUGAGAUUACGUAUACGUGAUAUUCUAACUUUUUUUUUAUCAGUAGGUUUUGCAUUAUUUAUGUGCCGUUCACAAUUACCAUCUACUACAGGUUUAGGUGUUUUUUAUUGUAAUUGUUCGUAAAUAUUUUUUUACAUUUAUAAUAUAUUUGAUUUCUUAUAAUUAAUGUAAUAUUUUAAAUACUAGAAAUUGUUUCGAGCCAAACGAGGAAUCGAAAACAAUAAUCAAUAUUAAUACAAAAGCAAAAUAAUAAAAUAAUUAAUUAAAAAAAUAAAAUUAUAUUUUUGCCGACGUAGACACCGACGUCAGCAUAAGGCACCUUCCUCGACGUCUUUGUAAUGCGUCGAGGAAGGUGUUUUACCAACGCAACAUCGGUAUUACCUAUGCCGAUGCAACUGAGACACGUCGACGUUACCUUUAUCGCGACGUUAGUCUCACGUCAAUACGCUAUGCGUUCGCAUUUGUCUUUUAGCCAACGUGGCCAUUUAUCAACGUCGACAAAAGUUAUCCCGACGCAUUUUUGUCGACAUUCAUGUCAACGUCUGGAUGUGCGUCGACAAAGCCUUUGUCGACGCUAGUAUGACCUUUAGUCAACGCCAUUAUGCGUCAGCGAAAAUCUUGUUUCUUGUAGUGCUCCUAGAACUCUCAUCAUUUUCACUUCAUUAAUGAUAAAGAAUUUCAAUAUAGGAAGAGAUAAUUCUAAUAACUUAUUUUUUUAACGAUAAACUAGGAGGUCAAUCAGUUAAAAUUGUUGAAACUUUGAUUUAUAGUUGGACUUAAAGUUUAAAUUUAGAUAUGAUAUAUAAUUAAAAUUUAUCUCAUAUGGUUGGAUAAAAAAUUUAUAAUAAAUAGUUCCUGUGUAUUGUAUGAACUAUUUAAGAGAAUUUAACAAAUUAUAGGGACCCUGCAUGAAGUUAAAUUAAAACAUAGGAAAUUAACUCUAAACUUUAAAAUCAUAUAAACUAACCUUUUAACUUUAUCUAAAUCAUACGACCAAACUUGAAAUCUAAUCGAAUUUAGUUAGAAGAAUAAUUGUAAAUGAAACAAAGGCACAAAAGUGUACAGAAAAAUGUGAACACAUCUGGUCGAUCUCUCUUGAUCCAAGACAUAUACCUACAAAAAAAAAAAAAACAGGUCAUAAUUAAAUGAAAAAAAUGUAUGACAUGUUUGAAAAUGAAGUAUCUUUCAUAUGUCUUAAUUGUCAAGUAUUAUUGUUAUAAGAUCAUCAAAUAGAUUUAAAGCAGCUUUUCCAAGUGGAUUGAUGCUAUUGAAACAUAUCUAAAUGGACAACAUAAACCAUUCAUUUGGGGAUGUGAGUGAUGGAAGUAGUGGGAUACAAUCAUUUAUAUUUGCCACACACUUUUGAGAAUCAAAUGCAAAAUGUGUUUAAUUUUUAAAAAUUUCAACAUAAUAUAUAAAUCUAGCUAGUAUUUAUUAUCAAUGUAUGUGAGACUAUAUUAUUGGACAAAACCCCACUACUGCCUCAUGACAUGACACAAAAACUAUAAGAAAUACUAGAAAAUUUCACUAUUUGAAAGUUCAUGAAACUAUUCUCUCCAGUGCAAUUGCAAAAAGACCCACUUGAAAAAGCAUAACAUAAUUGACACAACUCGGUCAAUAUAUCAAAUUUAAAAGUGCUUUCAAUUAGAACAGAUUAAUUAAAAUCCAAAGACAAAACUCAAACAUAUAUAGGAGAGGAAAAUGAUAAAAAAGAAAUACAUCCAUAAGCAAUUAAAACCAGGAUUGGACUUGAUUGAAGAAGACAAACAAAAUUAUUUGUCCAAACAAAAGAAAUACAAACCAAAAGAGAGAGAUAAGAGAGUUGAUGUAUGAGUUCCCUAAAGGCUUUUACCAAUUUGAGGUAGGCCCCGUUUACAUUCUACAAAUGUCUCCUCCAAUCAAUACUAUAAUUCACUGUCUACAUCUAAUAAUAAUAAUAAUAAUAAUCUUUCUUUCCAAAUUUAGUUUUCUUUAUAUUAAUUAACACUCAUCAUUCAUCAAUCAAACCAUUGACAAAUAUAAUUAAUAUAUGUUUCCAUCCACUAGAAAUCCAACGAGGUAUGUCUAAAGAUGUAUGUAUGUCUGUACAUAUUGAAUAAAAAGUUUGAUUAUGAGAAAAGAAAAAAUGAAAAGGUUAAAUCUUACAUUAAUUCCAUUGGAAGGUAAAGAGUUAUGGUUUGUGAAGGAGAUGAAAAUGGGGACCAAUACCCCUUUUAAAUAUACCUUACCACCAACUAUAUAUUAAACUUAUCCAUAUCUUUCAUUCAAUGUGACUUUCACAUUUUAUUUUUAAAUCUUACAUAUUUUAACCUACGACUUAAAUUAAGGAAAACAUAUUAAUUGAUAUUUCUACAAUGCUUAUAAAAGAAAAUUCACAGUGUUUUUAAUAAAUAAACAUUUUUCAUUAUCUUAUAUUCACUUUACGGACAUUUAUUGCUAUUUAUUGUUUUCUUUCUUCAAAAUAAAUGAAAUUUCAAUCCUACCUUUCUAAUGUUUUUUAUUACAAAUUUUUCCGCUGAAAAUGUGAAAAGUAAAAAUAUGAAAAUAUCAAUGCGUAUGAAUGAAAAUUUAAUACAGUGAAAAGAUGAAUACAUUAAUAUUUAAAUAAAUAUAAUUUCUUACAAAGUUUGAGGUUAAUUAAUUCAACUAAUUGAAGAAUAUGUUAGGUUUAGAUGUUUGAAUUUCUGCACCUCUUUUUUUACUAGUUGAACUCAAUUAAUAAUAGUAAUAAAUAAGUAAAUGAAUAAAUAGGUUUGUUUCAUUUAAUAUAUAUAUGAAUAGCACACCAACACACACAUUGGACAUGCAAUUAAAUUAAAUGGAUGACCUCAUUUAAAGAAACAAAAUCUAUCUAUACGAGAGAGUCGGUAUCCAAUGAAUGAUGAAUUCUUAUUAACAAUAUAGUCUAUCAUUGAUAUCAUCAUUGUCGGUAACUAAAUUUAAAUUUUGUUGUGAUUUAAACUUCCUAUGCGUUGUGUUAUAACUUCUAAAACACUGAGGUUUGAUUGUUGUAUUUGAAAAGACCCAAUUUAAUUAAUAAAAGAUUAAUAAAUUUUAAAGUGAGCAUUUUCAAAUAUGGCAUAAAAUUAAAAUAUAUUUAAUUUACAAAAUAUUACAAAAUUUCUAUUUUUCUACCUAUAUAUAAGAUUUUAGCAAAUUUUGAUAUUUUUUUUAAAAUUAUAUUAAGCAAGUUUUAUCGAUAAUUUUUUAUUUUGAAAACUAGUUGAUUUUUAAUAUGAAUUUUUUUAACCCUGAAGUAAAAGGAAAGGAAAGAGGGGAGAAAUAAAGGGAACAAGAGAAGGAAAAAACGUUAUAAAAUAUAGACAAGAAAGAAAUAUGAAAUAGUUAUGAAAGGAAAUUAAUUGUUAUGAAAGGAAUGAAGAGAUGGAGAAAAGAAAUAUGAAAUAGUUAUGAAAGGAAAUUAAUUGUAGAGAUUAAAGUAAAUGAAUAGAUAUUAUGUUGGAAUAAAUCCAUGUUAUGUGCUAUUCAUUCAUGUGCUCCCAUGUCUAUUCUUGGACAAGAAGGUAUUAUUAGCACAUUAAUUAGGCAGCUGAAGCAGCUACCCCUAUUUCUCUGUUUAAACCCACAUGUUCAUAAUCAUUUUCACAUUAUAAACCUUUUUAAAUCAGCUGUACAUGUACUUAUCUUAUGUGCAAAUCCUCAUCUUAUAUACUACCAAAAUUUAAUUGGAUGCACUAUAUAGGGGCAUCAUAAACACAAUUCCAUUAUCAUACAUAUCACCCAAGUAAUUGAAAAUGUUACGAUACCAUACUAUUAAUACUAUUCACUAGAAAGUCAUGAUCACAUAUGUAAGGUUCUAGGUCUAGAAUUCGUACUAGAAUUUGAAACUAGAUUUGAAGAUAUGAAGAACUCAACAUUUUCUUCCAUUCUCUUGUACUCCUACUUUAUUGCUUACCGUCAUAGAGUGGAGAAUGUCCUCUCUUUAUCGACCAACAUGAAUUAAUUUCAACCUAUUUUGUUUUUACCAAAACUUUUUGAACCUUUUUUUAAAAAAAAGUUCACUUGACAAAAUUAUUGGACAUCAACGUCAAGCUAGCACACGCCACGUUAAAUUAUCAUAUUAAUGUAAUUACCUCGUUUUAUGAAUGAAUUCUUUUGGCAAGUGUGUAUACAAUACAAUUUAAAAGAGUUAAAAGAACCAAGUAGGGGCGUGGAUGUGACCCAAUUGGUCUUAAAAACAAAUUGAAAAGUACCUAACAUAUGUUGAAUAUACAAUGGACCAAUUGGUAGGAAAAUUUGAUGAUAAUUGCUUAUCCCUCUCAUGGCACCUUCUUCUCUCUUUUGAGCCUCCCUCUCUUUUUACCCUUUUCUCUUUUUCCUUCCUAUGCGUUGUUCUUCCCUCCAUCAUAUCCACAUGCAUAUGUGUGCAAAUUUUGAAAGUCAUGUCUAAGUUCAUAGCAUAUAUUGUUUAAUUAUAUAUAUCAUAUAAAAAAACCCUAGCUAUAUUCUUCUAAAAAAUAUACAGCCAUACUUUGGAUCAAGGUCCCACUUCUUUUAAUAUAAUUUAGAGUUAAUUAAAACAAUGCACUUCAAUUUAAAAUAUCAAUAUUCUUUCAUUUGGUAAACAUUAUAGUUUAGAUGGCAUUUUGUGGGAGGACUAAAUAAUUGUUCGCUGUUAUGUGACCUCUACAUUAUGACUAUAUAUAUUAUUCUUAUUAGAUAUAUAUGGUAAAUGAUCGUGUUGGGUUGCUUCUCCUUGAUCUCUUCUUUCUCUUGGUUUUUCUUUCUUCUUCUAAUGGAAGAUGAGAGAGUAGUCGUUUCUAGCAUACAAGCAAGUAGGUAUCGACGAUGAAUUGUUGCAGUUACACAAAAUCUCUCUUGAAGAUUGUUGUAUCUUUAGAGUGGAGUGCCAAAUAACUCAGUGAAGUGUGGAUACAUCUACUUUAUGGAUAUCACCAUUAGCAUGCCUCAAUAUAUAUAUAUAUUCAGAAAGUUUUCGAUUUCAAAUUAAAAUUCUAUUCUUCAAUUGUAAACUUCUUUUUUUCCACUAUUGUCUCAUUGAUUCUUUUAAUACAUUCUUGAUAAGAAAUCUGAAAACAAAAAUUGAAAACAAAAAUUCAACAAAAAUAAAGUCAUGUUCGUUAGUGUAUGGCUCAAAAUUAGAUUCUAAAAUAAACUAAAUGUAUCAAAUAGUACUAUAUUUAAGUAAACUAUAUAUAAUAAACUAGUUUGUAUUUACAAUUUAGAUUAGAUGUUAACUCUAAACUAUUAUUAACUGGGUAACCUGUAAAUAUGAAAUUCUAAAAUAAUAAUAGAUAUAUUUUAUGUUUAUAUUCAUAUUUAUCAUUGGAAUUUUUUUCUCCAAUAAAUGAUAUUAACUCGAAGAAUAUGACACAAAAAUUGUGACUAUAUUUCUAACCAACAAAGAUUUGAUGCACAGACAUUUGGUGAAAAUAUCGAGACUAUCAAAAAGUUUAGAUACUCAUACUCGUCAAAUCUAUAUAUUUUUUCUUCUCCACUUAUUUCGAAAAAGAUAUAUAAUGUCGAUUAAUUGAAGUAUGAAAAUAUCUAAAUUAUGUUGACAUACUCCUUUUAACACCAUCGUCAUAUUUCACUGCUAAUUCAUUAAUGUAUCAAUAAUAAUAAAGGAAACAAAACAAUCAUACAAAAGUGCAUGUCCAAAAAAAUAGUGCUAGAGAGAAGGCCAAAACAAGUGUUGAAAAUUACAUAAAAACAACUAAUUAAGUUUUCAGAUAUAAGUAGGUAACACGUGCUAUGCACGUUAAUUUUUCAUACAAAUAGUAUGAAGUUAUAUUUAUUUACUUAUGAUUUUUGGAAAUGACUUUUAGAAAUGAUUGUUGGAAAUACAUUUUUUCUGCUUCAUUUAUAGAGAGAUCUCUUACUUAAGACUUGUUAUAUGCAUGUAGAAAUCGAAUGAGUUAAAAGAUAUAAUGAAUUUGACAGCAUGACUAUGCAACAAUCAAUUCAAUCAAACUUUAGAUUGAUGAGUAGGGUUUUUUUUAUUUGUAUCAAUUACAUAUCGAAUAUUUAAAUGGAUUGAAAUUUUGGACAUUGACAUUUACUUGAUUAUUAUUUGAACAUUUGUGCUAAUUCUAAUAUAUUUUAUGUAUUUCUAUCAUAUUCGAGAAGUAUAAUUAUUUAACAAAUUUUCCCAGAAUUAUAAUUUAGUUAUUAUUUUGAAAUGAAUAAUUAAAUUUAAAUGAAAAUUUAUUAUUGAAAUAAUACAAAUAGAGAGACAAUUCUUUUUUCAUUUGAUCCCUCAAUUACAAGAUCCAUAAUAUACUAUUGUGGUAAGCACAUUCUACAUUUUACAUGAUAAAAAGCGUACUUAAUUACAAAAGCAAUAAUUAGAAAUUGAAAAACCUAGUUAUUUGGCAUCCUCAUGUCACUUUGUUACUUUUUGAAAAUGAAGCUUAUGAUCUUGUCUCUUUAGUCUUCCACUUUUGCAUCCUUCAUCCAUGAAUUCUCUUCAUCUUUUUUAUUCGGUUGAUUGCUUGUACCUACGCAUCGCAAAAAUAUGACAAAGGUUCGUGGACUUUUGUAGUUUUGGCUCACAAAUCUUCAUUUGAACUCGUUGGGAGACCAAUUGCUUCCUACCCUAACAUUUUGUUAUGACUUUGAACAUGAACAGAAAACAAAAAGGAAUGAGACAUUUAUACCUAAAUAUUUGAAAAGGGAAAGAAUUUGAAAGGUUGAAAUAAAUACAAAAUAAUUAAUAUGAGAUAAGAGAAUGUGAAUAGAUGGGAGAUGGAGGGAUAUGAAUGGUUUUAGAGAAAUGUUAAUAAUAUAAUUAAUUGGAGAGAAAAAGUUAAAAUUAUUAAUACUCAAUUAUUUAUUAAUAACUAAAUUAAAAAAAUACAAUAAAACCAAAUUAUAAACACAAACAAAUCUAACAAGAAGAAUGACAAAAUUGAAAAUAAAAAGUUUCUCCUCAUCCAUAUUUUUAUAUAUACUAUAGAUUAACGAGGGGUUGUAUUCUUUGAAAAGUUUGGAUCCGAAAGUUCAACAUAUGUUCUCCCAAAUAUUCAGAUUAUUAUUGUAAGUACCUUUAAAAUUAAUUGUGAUUGAUUCUUUCAAUCCAAAUUAAUUGGUAUGCUGAGGGAUAGUAUAGGUAAUUUCUUAUACAAAUCAUGAAACAAUGUAUUUAAUAGUUUUAUAUAUACACAUGGUUGGCUAACGUAACUCAUAUGUACUGCGCUUCAGUAUGAGCCUCUGCCUACUCUCCUCGGUUUAGUCUCAAGAUAGUCUAAAUUGACCUAUGUAAGAUAUUAUUGCAUCUUAGUAUGGUGUCGAUCUUACUUGUUUAAAUUAGAACAAAAAUGGUUAAUUUAACUAAGCACAACAAGAAGUAAGCGCGUUUGAUUUCUUGGAGAUUAAAACUUUUAUUAUACCGUGUGAACUUAGGCCUUUGUAUAGACUUUGAUUCCUUACUAUGGCAAACCAAAACCUACACUGCCAUUAAAUAUGAUGAAAGGAACUAAAAGCUCUAAAUUCAACCAGUUGCAUAUCCAUACAAAUAUUGUGACAUUAUUGAAUAAUAAAAUUUUGCAUCAGUUUUUUUUUUUUUUCUUCUUUUAGUUGUAAUUAGUAUAAUUAGAUUUAGAAAGGGGUGGUUUGGUGGAAUUUUGAUGGAAGAUAAUAGUUAGGUUUUCAGAUGGUUUUUCACUUAUACGUGAUUUCUGGAUAUACACACAACAAAAAUCACUUUUCUCUCAAACCCAAAAGAUAAAAAAAAAAUUAACCAAAUAUGAAGAAGCAUCCACACCAGUACCUACCCCAUUACCAAAUAACCAAAACUGAAAUUAAAUGAAAUUUCAAUGAAUUAAAAGCAUUUUAAUAUAUAUAUAUUUCUUCUGUUAUUCCUUGAACAACAAUAAUAAACGUAUAUUUAUAUAAAUAGAUCCCAUUAGAAACACUAAAAUACAGAGUACUUCCUUUUCUCUGAACUGCAGGAGAAAAAUCCCCCUCCUUCUUAAACAUCAACUUUCAAGUUUGCAAAUUGUCUUUUUCCUCCUCUUUAUUUAAUAUAUAUAUAAUAAUAUUGUCAAUCUGAUUAGCUACUCAUAACAUAGCCCACAUUCAAGUACAGCAGCUUUUCAAAAAAACACACAAGGACCUACCUCUAAACUCUAUCUCUAAAUCUAAACUCUCUAUAUCUAACCCUAUUUCUCUUUUCCUGUUUUUACUUUUAAAUCUUUAAUUAAUUUCAUAUGUACUUGAAUCAUUAUUUUAACAUUUUUAAGGUACUUUGAGUUGAUAAGUAAAACUAUUGUUUAUUAUUAUUAUUAAACAACACACCAUCUUUUCCUUCUGAGUAGCCCACAAGUUAAAACAGCUUUGUUUUUUAGCAAUUAAUUAUUCUGUCUAAUUUUGUAAUUAUAUAUAUUUGUGUUUCUUUUUAGCGAUGGGAAGAUCAGGGCAGGUCGGGGCAAGUCAUAUGACAUUCUUUCUCUCUCGCAUCUUCUAAGGAAUAACUGUUGGAGAUCAGCAUCAUUUCAUCUCUCUCUCUCUCUCUUCUUUCUCACUCUUCCUCUUUCCUAAAUAUUUAAACUCUAUAUUUUAGUUUAUUUUCAUUCAAUUUAUUAAAUGUAACACGAAACGAUAUGAAUCCAAAUUGUAUACUAUAUAUUGAAAUAGAAAGAUUUGAACCACAAAUCUCUUUAUCGUUAACCCUUACACAGAUAUCAACCAUUUAGUUAUAAACUAGGAUAGAUUUGGUUACAUAGUUGCAACUUUUAGAAAAUAUACCAACUCUACUAUUGCAAUUAUUCAUAAAUGUAUGUGUUUAUAUAUAAAAAUAUACAUUGAAUUUGUUUUUUUAAAGAAAAAAAGAAUAGAUUUGUAAGGCCUAAAUGAUAGUAGCUGUCUUUAUCCAAUGCUCAAAGUGUAGGGUUGUAAAGCAUUCGACAACCUGGCCUUCCCUUUUCUUUCCCUAAUCUUCCCUUUCUCCACAAACUCCUUAUUCAAAAACCUAAGUCUUUGGAGCUUCUUCUUCCUUUCAUAUAUAUUUUUCUUUUAUUUAAUUUACAUCUUAGGGUUUAUUAUAUAUCAUACUAAAGUGUUCUUUGUUCCAACUAUAUACUUAACUUUACUUGUAACCUUAUAUUGAAUAAUAUUGGAAUACGUAAAACCUUCCCUUAUUCACCUUAAUAACAAAUAUAUAUUUAUCAAUAAUGACUAAAGUAAAAUUCCAAAAGAGUCUAAGGAUUUUGACCACUCAUAAAUACAAAUCUCAUUGAUGUCUCAAACAGCUUGGUUUUUUAAAGCUUUUGGAAUUACUUCAUCAAUACGUCAAGUUUGAAGCAUUAUCACCAAACAAAACCGAAAAAUUAAAAGAAAAUAUAUAUAUUAUAUAUAUGAAUAGAAUCAAUUUUCUUCUCAUACCCAACGACCACCUUACUCUUAAUCGCUAAAUCAAACCAAACCUAAAAAUGGCUCUGCCAAUUCACCAAAGUAUCAAACUUUGCUUUCUUCAUCAUAAAUUCAACCAUCUCCAUCCUUUAACCUAAACUUAUCAUAGUUUUUCCCAUGUUCGUCAUGUGAAAACUAGACACAUAACUUUUUUCUUUUUUCAUAUGCGUCAAGCUUUAAGAUAUUUCGUUAGAUUUAUUGUUGAUGACGCAUGAGAAGUUUUUGUUUUAAACUAUCAAUUUCGUUGAUAAAUCAGAUGCAGUACUACUGUCUAAGACAAGACGGUAUCAAAAUGUGUUCCUAUCUUGUUGAUGCCAAUGGAAUUGUCAAUAUCUCAAUUCACAAAAGUAUAUCAAAUGAGCAAUUGUUAUAAAAAGAACAAAAAAUUAAUCUAUAAAUGCACUUAAAAACAAUAUGAACCAAUACACAAACAACUACAUGUUUCCAACACUUAAAAUAAUAAGUUAACUUUUAAAAGCAUGGGUUAUAUUUAUAUAUUAAUAAGAAAAAACCAAGCAUUUCUAUUUUUGUUAGGAGGAGUACAACAAGUUUGCACAUUGCAUGUAAAAGUACAAAGUAAGAAUUCUGAUUGGGUGUAUAUUUGCAAUCACAUGUGUGAAGAUUCCCAUAUUUACUAUUGGGCCCUCUUAGAGCCCGGUUAAGCCGGUCCACGAUCCACAACUAGUGGAUCGACUUUCUUUUAGGGCCCAUUGUUCAAAAUGCUAUUAUGCCUAAAUUACUUAGAUGAGAAGAAAAGAGAGGAAUUCAGAUUCAUACAUUAAUAUUUCAUCUAUAAAUUAAACAUUUUAAGUGCUACCUUACUAUUAAUAUAUUUAUUAAAUUUCUAAAGUAAUUUCCAAUGCUUAAUUUCUUUCCAUUCUAAACAAAAGUGUCUGUGUUACACCAGCCAGCAGUUGAUUCAAAUUCUUAAACUUUAAUUAUAUAAAUUUCUUCAAAACUACUUUUACAUGGAUCUAUACUUAUUUUUAUUACCAUGAUUGUGUUGCAAUAAGAAAAGCUAAUUGAUUAUUUGAUUGAAUUGGAAAGAAAAUAAAAUAUUUACAUUGUUAUAAAGUCAACCAAUCGAGAUCAAAGUUCAACCACGUCGCCACAACUUUUUAUUUUCACUUAAUUGGGAUGAUAUAAAACCUUUAUUAAUCAAAUCUAAGAACGAAUUACUACGUUGAAAACCAAGAUUUUCAAAUAACUCAACUUCAACUCUUCAAAACCAAUUUGAUCUUAACCCUUUUAAAAUAGGUUAAACUCACAUUACACAAAUAAUCUAAUGAAUCAAUGAUAGAACGACAAAGACUUUUCGUAUACAUGGACGGUUCUUGUAUAUAAUUUUUUUAAAUAAAAUAGGUGUGAUCCAUUGGUCAUUGGUUCUUCAUCAGAUGAGCUUUCUUUCUUUUUUCUUCCUAAUAUUUUUAACCUUUCAUUUUCUCCUCUUUGAUUUGAAACCUUUUUAGUCUUUUCGUUAAUAUUUGAUUUGGUUAUGUUAUUACACAAAAUUAGUAUUAAAAAAAUAAUUCUCAUUUUAAUUUUUCUCACAUGUAAAUAAACAUACAAAUAUAUAAAUAAUUUUUAAUCUUUAAUAAAUUAUUUUAAAAAAGUUAUUUGUUUUAAUUUAGUUUGUUAAAAUAAAUAUUUCAAUUCUCGUUAUUUUCCUAUAUAUUUUGAUUUUUUAUAAUUUUGUAAUUAUUAUUACUUAAUUUAUGUAUUACAAAAAUGUGUAGAUUUCAAUUUUCAAAUUACAAAAUUCUCUAAAAUUUCAAAACAAUAUCUAACAAGAAAAAUAUGAAGGUUUUUAUAUAUAACAAUAUCAUGAUUUUUCAGUUUUGAAAACAAUAGAUUUCAAACUUAUUAAAAAAUUAAAUUAAUUAUUUUAUUAGUUUUUUUUUUUUAUCUAAUUAGCCAAUUUUUUAAAUUUAUUAAAUAAUAGACAAUACAUUAAUUUUAAAAAUGUACAAUAAGAGCUAUGAGAAAAACUAGUUUAUAUAUGAUAUAACAAAUGAAUUUUAACAUUUUCGAAUAUCUACAACAACAGACUUAUUGCAUAAGAAUAUCUUGAAAUCAUAAAAAUCUAUCAUACACAUAAUAAGAAAAAUGAAAGGGACUAUUAUAUACCCAUUUUAAAGUUUGUGGAGACCAUAUAUAACAACAAAGCCAAAAGUCCAUAGAAUAAAUUACCAACCUUAUAUUGAAAUAAUAAGAGACUUUAUAUAUAUAUAUUCUUGUAACCAUUCUUCUAAGACAAUUAAUGCAAAAUUUAAUUACUUCUCAACCAACAUUUUCAAAUUUUGUGAGUGAUAGACAUCAUCUUUCACUUGUCAUCAUCUUCAAUGCAUUCUCGUUAAAAACAACUUUCAUAUUUAAUGAUAGUUUUUAAAUUCAAUCAUCAUAAUUUCAACCCUAAAAUGGUAGAAGCUAACUAAAAACCACUAAAGUUUACAUGUAAAACAUAAUGAUUCUAAUCCAUAUAUAUCAAGUUGUUUUUUAUGGAAAUGUGAUUUCUUGGUUCAUAUCAUGGGAUUUUUGUUCUACAUGGAUUGAGAUUAAAUAGAGUAAAAUCAUUGGUAAUGAUUUAACUUGCAAAACCAAUAAAUAAAUGAUGGAAAAUAGAAAGUACUAGAGACAAGUCUCUAAAUAAAUAUUCUCUUUAUUUGGAAUAGUUUGGAAACAUGAGUAUGAACAUAUUUGUAGCGUAAAGAAACUUAACUUAGAAGAGUUGAUAUGAAUUUUGUAUAUAGACAAAUAUUUUGCAUGGUGUAAUAUGUUGUGAUACUUUUAGAUUGAUUUGCAUGUUUGUAACCUCCCCUAAUUUUAUAUUUUAAAUGUGAUUACUAAAAUAAAAAGAAAAAUCUAUUGGAUACCCUAUGGGCUUUGGGCUUGGGAUAAUUCUAAACAAAGUGAGACAUCAACUUCAUCGGCAAAUAUAGCAAAAUUUUUCAAAUUCUAUCAAUGAUAUAAGUCUAUCACUGAUAGAUCAUAUUGCAAAUAUGAAGUCUAUCAGCGAUACAAGUCUAUCAAUGAUAGUUUUGCUAUAUUUGUAAUUUUUUUAAAAUGUUGCUAUAUCCUUAAUUAUUAUUGUUAAAAUAGUCACCCAUUACAAUUUCCCUUUUUAAUAAAGGUAAAUUACAAGUUUAGUUUCAACUCUAACCAAUUUGAUUAUAUUCGAUAUUCGAUUUUUGUUAUACAAGAUAAACAUACAGAGUUUGAAUAGAAUGGAUCACAUAUAGAUAUUAGUUGAGGUAAACUUUGGUUGGUCAUAAAUUUUAUUUGUUUCUUUGUUUUUUUAUUUAAUAAAUUUCUAGGCUAUCAAUAUAUGUUUAGUUGAAAAUUAUUAUGUUAGUUUAUGUCUACUGGUUGGUCGAGUUUAGCAUAUGUGUAUUUGGAAGAAAAAUUUUGUUUUUGAAAUCUAUUUUUGAAUAUUGUGAUCUAAACUGUGGGAAUUUAAAAAAAAAAUAUUUUUUAAUCUUUUCUUUGUAUUUAUAUCAAUAAAAGUAAGAAUGUUAAAAAAUAUAGGGUUUCACAUCAGGUGCCAAAUUCACAUUUUUUUGAGGUAAAAUAUUUAAAUUGGUUGGAGACACAUAUGAAAACAAAAAUAUAUCAAUUUUGUUUUCAUUGAAUUUUUUGUUUUCAAAUUGUUGUUUCUCGAUUCACUACAAGAAAAAACACAUUUGUGUGGGACGCAUUGAAGAAGCUUGGACAAACGAAUAAUGGUCAUGAGAUAAUCCUUCUGCCAACGAUAUAUAUGUAGGCAUUGGGAGAUAGAAUCAAUCUCUUAAGGACGUAUAAAAAUCACUAGGCCAGAGAAGGGUCAUAUUUGCCAAUGUCUUGUGGUGAUGCGUCAGCAGAGGCAUUGCAUGAAACAAAAGAAAAAAGGCCUAAUAUCUGCUAACAAAUAAAAGAGUAGGGAUCAACGGAAGGUUUAACUGCCAAUGCCAUAAGUAGGUGUGCAAAGACAGUUGGAAGAGAGGGAAUUGCCGACACUUUAUGUAGGCAUUGACAGUUUACCGGAUAAACAAAAAAAAGAACCAUUAGUUGUGGAUGCGAAUCAAGUUCACAUCAAUUUCCUCUCUUUUCCUUCAAUUUCCUUCACCGUCAAUAUCCCAUCUCCUGUUGUGUCAUUCCUCUUCUUGUUUCUUUCUCCUUCUGCUGGUUUACUUCUCCUUCCGCAGUUCCUUCUCUUAUUUAUAUCCUUCUCCUUUUGUCAGCUUCAUUCUCCUUCCACUAGAUAACCUUCCAUCUCCAUUGUAACGACAAAACAAGAGAAAAACUACUGGACACGAUAAAAGCCACCAUCGUUCACCUCCUUAUGUCCCCAACGUUGUAAGUUUUCAACACAGUUCAAUCUUUCGGUCUCUCGCUACAGGAAUAUUCACUGCCCAAGAAACAUACUUAAUUAUUGAAGCUGGAACACAUUCAUAUAUGGUUUUUCUAAUUGAGUUCUCUUCAACAUUGUUGCCUUUGCUCUACACUUUUUAAAUAAAUAAUUUUCUCCUUAAUCAAACUCAUGUUUCCAACUUUAAUUUGUAGGGUGAUGGGAUAGAUGGUGUUGGUUUACUCACAAAUUUAAUUAAGCUACUUAAUUAUCUCCAUGUCCACAUAUACAGUAUAAUACUUGUGGAAAUAUACUUAUAUUAUAUUAAAUGCAAUUCUAUGCUUCUUAUCAUAAUUAUAUAUAAUCUCUAAUAAAUAAAUUGUAAAAAAUGAAAAAUUCUUAAGAUAUAUUAAUCUUGAUGGUCAUGGUUUUUUCUUUUUCUUUUUGUAGAUCUAUAAUUGAUUAGAAUCAAACGUUUAUAACUUUGUUAAUUGAACUAAGUGAAGAAGUUACUCAUGACAAAGGGUCCGAUAAAUAAAUUUCCUAAAAGAAAACACAACAAAUGAAAUUAAGAAUAGAAAAAAUAAAAAAGCGAACGACGUCGGUUCAAUUAUUUAACGAGAUUUCUAAUAUAAUACUUAGUGCAUGCAUUUGAUUAUCAGACACGUGUCGCUCAACCAUCUCUGCCGUCAUGCUUCAAAGAACACCAACAGAAAAUCGAAACCCAAAUACAGCCGCGCUCUCUCUCUCUCUCACUGUCCUUGUCUCGACGAGCAUAGCAAGAGAAUAGAAAAAAAUUGGAAACGAUAAACAAGAAUUUGUUGAUCCAUCCAUCCAACACCUUAAAUGGGUCCCAAAUUCCGACCACAAAUCCUUCUUUUCUUUCUCUUUAGGCGCCACAAGUUCGCUAUUUCUCAUCAAUUAUCCACAGCAGAUAGCUUUUUGUUGAAACUGAGAGACGGGGAGAGCUCUGUCUUUUACCCCCGCCCCCCUUUUUUCAUCCUUAGUGGGCAUCUCUCUUUUUUCUCCCCUCUUCUUUUUCGAUACUUUCUGAUGAGCUUCUUGAUUCUCAUUUGAUUUGGGAAGUUGCAGAACAUGGCGAGCACACUGGAAAAACAGGGGUCUAAAGAGGGUAUUCUGUUCCUGGAAUUGCCUGCUCCUCCUGGUUGGAACAAAAAGGUUUCCUCCUUUUUCUUCUUUUUAUCUUACAUUUUUGUCUCUCCUUUGAACUUCCCUUUGCUCAUUUGUUGUGCUGUGAAUUUUCUGAUACUUCUGUACUUCUGUUCUGUGUUAGAAUUUCAAGCUUGAAUGUGUUUGUAUGGAGGUUAGGGCUGAUGGGUAUCCUUGGAAUUAAGCCGAAUGCUAUAACACUUAUGCUUUGGGGCUUAGGGAUUUGUUUUUUUCUUCUUCUUCUUUUUCUUUAUAGAUUCUAUCGAAUCUAUCUUUUUGUUUAGUACUCAUUAGCCAGUUAUUGGAAAAAGUUGGUGUUAGUUCUGUCUCUUUUUCUUUAUUGUUAUUGUUUCUUUUUCUUGGAAUGUUUUGAAUCUCUUAUCCUAUACUCUGAAUGAUCAAACACGAAGUCUACUUGCUCUAGCAAGUUGGAGUCCUGAUUGAUGCACUCUAAUAGAGUUGGGGUGCGACGCUUUUAGGCCGAAAUUGUAUUUAUGUUAUUUACAUUAUGAUUUUGGUCAAAUGGUUUAGAAGAGUGUGGUAGAUGCAUCUCUCUAAAUCUGUAAUAUGAUAUUUUUUUCUCUCUCAUUUUGUCUACGAACAUAGCUAACAUAUUAGUGUAUCACAUAAUUCACUCUGUCGAUUUUGUUCACAUUUUCUAUUUGUUUUUUAUUGUCGAUUUAUUAACAAUACUUUACCGUUUCUCUUAAAUGGUUCUUUCUAGUUGGAAGACCUUAUUAGUAUGCAACUGUUUGGUGUUUAGGUUAAUUAUAGUGAGGUUGCCUUGGUAGUGUCAAUUUUCAAUCAAGAUAAUUUGAUUGAUGCCAGUGAGUUUUCAUUAAGUUGAGAUAAAAUGAGGUGAAAAAUUAAAAUCUUAGUUUAUGUGCAGUUUCUACCCAAGUUAGAUGGGAUCACUAAGAAAAAUGAAAUCAUCUUCAUAGCUCCUACAGGGGAGGCGAUCCAUAACAAAAGGCAGCUGGAUCAGUACUUGAAAUCACAUCCAGGUAAUCCAGCAUCUUCUGAGUUUGAUUGGCGUACUGGUGAAACGCCUAGAAGAUCAGCUAGAAUUAGUGAGAAGGCAAAGGCAACUCCCCCCUCACCUCAAAUUGAACGACGUAAGAAACGAACACGAAAACAAGCUCUUUCGAAAAAGGUUGAGGUUAAAGAGACAGUUGUUGUCCCAUACGGUUUGGAGGAGGUAGGAGUUCAUAAGGAAGACGAGACCAAUGUCGAUAGCGAGGUGAAAGAAAUACACGAGGAGGAAAAGUAUGAAAAUAGAAAACUAGAAGAUGAGAAUGGAAAAGCUGAAACCACCCCCACCCCUGCCGAAAUGGCUGAAGAGGGGUGGCGAAUUGAUGGCGAUGAAUGGGAGAAGCUUGCUAAAACGAAGCAGGGAAGUGAGGGUUCUGAGGAUGCAAGAAAGGAAAAUCAAAAUUUGGAAGGAACAAAUGGGGAAGAGAAGGUUCAACUUCAAAAUGAUGCAAAGGAAUCCAUUUCAGAAGAAAUAACAGCUGAAGUUCAAAGAAACAACCAAGACGAACUUAGUGUUCCACAAAGAAGAUGAUGAAAAGGUAACAAAUUGACACAAUUGGAAGUAGUAGUGAUGAGAGUCUGUGAGAUUGAUUUACAUGUCUAGUUUGAACCGUUACCGGAUUACCGGAUUCAUAUGCUGAGACAUAUCUAUGUAAUUAUCAUUAAUAGGAUUGUCAUUUGUAUCUAUCUGUAUGUACCAUAUUUGUAUAAACAUUUUAGUGUGCAACAAUUUUAUUGAAGUUGUUAACUUAAAAACCUUGUCUCUCUCGUAUCUUGAACUGUUUUUUUCUUCCUUCUAAAAUUAGCUAUCAAAAGUAUGAAACAUAACAAAUGAAAUUUGUUCUCUAGAAAACAAACUAGAUGACAGUUCCAAAUUAAUCUCAAAGAAUAUUUUAAGAAAAGAUGAACUAAUUUGUUUGAAUUAAAAACAACAAUGAACUAUUAGGAAAGUAUAGAAAGAUGAAUGUUUUUGUUUUCUGUUGUUUUAUUAAUUGAAAGUGGAUUAAGUAAGAUAAGUUUUAAAAAUUCAACAAAACUAAUAAUUGUUUUGGUCAAAUGAAUAAAUAAAAUAAAAAAGUUGAAGAAAUUAUUAGCUCUGAUUAAGGACAACAAAUUCAUAAUCAAUUUUAAAUACGAAACUUAAUUAUUGUAGCUCUCAUUAAUGACAACAAAGUGGAUUAAGGGAAAACGGUUGGCUGCAAAUCAAGUUUUCAUUUCUAUUUUUUUCCUCUUUUUUGAGUAACUUUCAUUGAUUAAACUGAAAAAGAAUAUACCUUUUCAAGUUCAAAUUUACAUACAUUUCUAACAAGCUUCCUUUUAUUAAUCAUCUCUAAAUUUAAAAAAUAAGUUUUAGUUCUAUAGAUCUACCUUAAACAAAAUCUCUCACUUUCUUCUUUCCCUUGUUUUCUUUCUUUCUAGCAACAACGAUAUUCCUUCGCCUCUAUUUACCUCUAAUAGUAAAAAUAUUUGUUUCUCCUUCCCACACAAUAGAUAAAUGAAGUGUUUUUUCAACCCCCAGAUGAAUAAAUGUAGAGGACAAGAGCUAAAAAGUGGGUUAGAACUGGAAGAGAGCUAGAAAGUGAACUAGAAAGUAAGUUAGAAUCUGCCAACAAUAGUGAAAAAUGACAUAGUAGGUUGAGGAAAGAAAAUAAUUUAAGAAUAUUUUAGUGUUACCAACGAAAAAAAAUAAAACUUUAUUUUGAAACCUUUCAAAAGAAAAAAAGAGCUUGAGUAAAAAAGUUGGGAUAAAUAAAAUUACGUCAAGACACGAACUUGGAAAUUAAACCGUGUUUUUUAAUAUGCAUGAACAGUAAUUCAAACAAUUUAUAGAAGAUAUUCAGAUUUCCAUUACAAAUAUUGCCAAUCACCAUUGUUGUAAAAACCAAAAUUUCAGUACUUGCAGUCAGUGACGUUUAUCAUUUGAAGUUUUAAGAGAGCCCAAAGGAAGAUCAUUCCACCCAAGAACAAUUGUAAGUACUGCGCAGCCGUCACCAUCUGAUGUCAAAAUGGAGGCAAUCGCCAAUGGUAUAGCUCAUUCCAAAAGCUCCUAAUUGGUCAACAAAGGCCAUGGGUAAUUAUUUUAGCACCCAAAAUGCACCAUUAAUGCUCAUAAUGCCAAUUUCAUUCUAUUCAACGCUCACCGAAGCGGAUAGAACAAAAAACUUCACUUAUAAACAUCAAUUAGCUGUGGAGGAAAGAAAGGGAGACAUUCCAUCAAUACCCAGAUCCCAAACUUUAAACCCAGAAACCAAAAACCCCAUUUGACCUUCAUUUUCAACUUUAUCCAAGAUAGGUGGGGUGAUUCUUUUUGCUUAUGGCAUGCCUGAGGAGGAAGAAGAAGAAGCAGUGCUUUACAGUUUUUGAAAUCACCCCUAAUCGCGAUUCUUGUUUGAAGAAAUUUACUCAUUUCUUUGAGUUCUUCUGUUUGUCUCAGUGGAAAUGAUGAUGGGUUCUUGCUUCUUUCAGCACUUGAUUCCCUUAUUAUUUGUUUUCUCUAGUCCUCCUGGUAUUUGCUUUUCUUUCCUUCUCUUUCUGUUUCUUCUUCAGCUUGUUUUAGAUUGGGAUUAUGUUAUGGUCUUCUUUGUAUUGACUGGUGGAGCUUAUGACUUAACAAUAGAUAUGUCUGAAAUAUGGAUAGAGUAAAUUUAUCUUACUCUACUAGUUUUUGUUACUUGCUUGUGAGACCUGUCUUUCCAGAAUGCUCAAUUAUGUGAAAAGUGAUUUUUAGGAAAUGAAUUGUUACAUCAAAGAUGUUAGGAUUUGUCUUCAAUGGUUCUUGAGUAAUUGAUAUUAUUCAUUAAAAACUUCUUCUUGUGAUCCUACUUAGUAUUCUUAGUUCGUUCCCUUUGGUGUUGAUGCUUAAGUUUUCAUUGUAGAUCAAGUGGUGUUCCAUGUGGAUAGGGUGAGAAAGUUCUCUAGCUGAGGAUUGAAGUGAAUUCCACAUUUCCAUGUUCAUUAGAAUUUUUGUGUGAAUUUUAUAUUCUCUUGGCCAAUUUGAUACAAUCCUGCAUUCUCUGAACUCUUGCUGAUUAAAGAGUGAUACUUGUUAACCCAACUCAAUUCCUUUUUGGUUGGCUGCACAAUAUUUCUGUGGAUUUUCAAUUUAAUCUUGCAUUUUGAAGUUACUUAUCGUCUAUCGUCUUGACCUAUCAUAGAACAGAGUGAUUAAUGGAAAUUAUCUCCACCUUUACUGCAGCUUUGUUAACAGUAGAAGCAUUCACUGGGACUUAUGGAAUAAACUAUGGAAGAAUUGCAAAUAACAUCCCUUCACCUGAUAAAGUAGUUACUCUUCUUAGAGCUGCUAAGAUAAAGAAUGUUAGGAUUUAUGAUGCCGAUCACAGUGUUCUUAAGGCCUUCAGUGGGACAGGGCUAGAGAUUGUUAUUAGCAUUCCAAAUGAAAACUUGAAAGAUAUGAGUGCAAAUGAAGAUCAUGCCAUGAACUGGGUUAAACAAAAUGUGCAGCCCUUCCUUCCAGACACCCUUAUUUGUGGGAUUGCUAUAGGAAAUGAAAUUUUGGGAGGGAGUGAUUUUGAGUUGUGGACAGUAUUGUUGGGUGCAGCCAAAAAUGUUUAUAAUGCUGUAAAGAAACUCGAUUUAGAUGGUCUAAUUCAGAUAACUACAGCACAUUCCCAAGCCGUCUUUUCUAACUCGUUUCCUCCCUCAUCUUGUAAAUUCAGAGAUAAUGUUGCUCAGUAUAUGAAACCUCUAUUGCAAUUCUUCUCACAGAUUGGCUCUCCUUUCUGUUUAAAUGCAUACCCAUUUCUAGCCUACAUGAGUGACCCUGGAAAUAUUGAUAUUAAUUAUGCUCUUUUUCUAUCAACAAAAGGGAUUUAUGAUCCUAAAACUCACCUGCAUUAUGAUAACAUGCUAGAUGCUCAGAUUGAUGCAGCUUACGCUGCAUUGGAAGAUGCUGGAUAUAAAGAUAUGGAAGUCAUAGUUACAGAAACAGGAUGGGCUUCACAUGGAGAUGAAAAUGAAAAAGCAGCUACUAUAGAUAAUGCACGGACAUACAAUUAUAACUUGCGGAAACGGCUUGCCAAGAAGAAAGGAACUCCUCUUAGACCAAAAAAUGUGGUUAAGGCUUAUAUCUUUGCAUUGUUUAAUGAGAAUUUGAAGUGGGGACCUACUUCUGAGAGAAACUAUGGACUUUUCAAGCCUGAUGGAAGCAUUUCAUAUGAUAUUGGCUUCCAGGGACUUCAAUCUUCAUCUGCAAAUUCACUACUUUCAACAAUUAAGGUAUGAAAGUUUGUUUAAUUAUGAGCCAAAGAGAAUUUUCAUUCUGCAAUGACAUUAUUCAACAUAGACACAGAAGUUUAUCUACAUUUGGCUUGUUAACAACCCAAGAAACACGAACACUUUAGUUUGACUAGCAUGUUUGUGUCUGGCACGUAUCAGACACUUCGUUAGACACAUUGAUACUUGUGUUAGACAUGUAGUAGACGCUGUUAGUGUAAUAAAUGAGUUGGAUGCUAGAUGUACGAAGUCAAAGAUAGAACCAUCAUUUAUUAAGCUUGCAACAUAUGCGAAAUAGACACAUAUGAAAAAGUAACAAUUUGAUAGCAAAAUACAUUAAACUAAUUUUUAUGUAUAUGGUAUAAACUCAUUGUAUGUUUUAAUAAACGUGUCCUUUCCUUGGCCAUAUCCUAAUUUUUCUCUUUAGAAAAGACGUGACAUCAUGUUCGUGUUGUGUUUUAUUUGUAUUCAAGCUUCUUAGUUGACAGCUCUCUCACCUGACCUGAUUGAUUGUCCCUCGAGAAAGAUUAAUGAUUAAAGGCUUUUAUGGUUACUGAAGAGGGAUUAAGAUAAUCUACUGAAAUUAGUGAAUUGAUUAGAUUGGAACAGUUAGAUGAAGAUCUUCUUUUUCUUCUCUCCCUUAGAUCAUUUCUUGAGUAUAUAAUUUUCUGUUUCCUUUGUGAAUGAGGGAAGAUAAAAGCAUAGAAUCUGCCUUCGUAACUGGAACGCAACAUGUCCUGGAAGUACAUUUUUUACUUGUUAAAAGUUGAUAUAGAUUUAUUGGAGGCAAAUAACAGGGAAGAAAGAAUUAUGGCAUGUAAGAAAUGGGUAUUGAUCCUUUUGCAUAUUGUCUAUUGCUUCCUCAAUUACUACUACCAUCCACAGAAAAAGUUCAAUAAUUUACUUUUGCAGCACAAAAUUAUCUCAACCACUAAUAUGCACAUUUGAUUGUAACAACGAAAUGAUACGAAUCUCACUUCACAUUGAUUUUUAGUGUCCCAAAUUCAACUCUUAUUGGAUUUGAGAUCUUAGCUUUGAUGAGAAGGCCAACCUAAACAACAGCGGAUUUUACUGGGAAAAAACAUCCCAUUAGUAGAUAAAUUCAAAUAAAGCAAUAAAACUGGGAGUAAGUGAAAAUUUUCAAAUUGGAGAAAAAACUCCAUACUAAAAAAAUUCCACUGCAUGAAAAGUUAUUACCAUCACGCAAAAUCCCUCAUCAACCAUAUGCCUUUUUAUUUUGUUUUGAACCAUUACUUUCUUGAAUCUUUAAAUGUGGGAGAAUCAAUCUUCUAAUAUUUAGUCAAAACCCAACGGAUGUUAUAGUUGAUCCAACUUUGUCGUAUUCGAACCGUUUAUAUUCAUCUAAGAAGCAUAUUUUAAAAAUCUAUGGCACCAAGAACACGUGUAUUAAAAAAAAAGUAAAGGAAUUGAUGCAUUUAUAGUGUAUAAAAACUUAGUUUGAUGUAUUUCACACUCCGAAGUUAUUCUUAUUGUCAUCUGUGUGCCUUUUUAGUCUACUCGACAAUUGUUCUAUACAUGCUGAUGAGUGUGUCUAACACGGACAAGCUAGCCAGUAAAGUGUCCGUGAUUAUUAGAUAUUCAUACAGUUUUUGUUCUUGAAACGUCUGCUUAAUUAAUAUCACCAGAAUAUUUGAUCGGAAAUUGAGAGUCUCUUGAAUUUGGUUAUUUGAGAAAGAUGAGUUUCAAUUGAGUAGAAUACAAAUUUGUCUGAUGUUGUAAAUAUUCUAUUUAUGCAGGAACAGGGAGGUAGAGGUUGCUAUGAGCAUCAAAUCUCAGUAGCAAUAAUAUCUGCUUUAACUCUGCUUCUAUUCUUGCAAUGAUGGGUUAAUAUAAGUUUUGCCACUUUGAAUUCCCAAUCAAAUGUCAUUGAUUGUCCUGGCCUACAUUCAAAAGUUUCCAUAAACAGCAUAAAUUAUUCGGUUCAUGAAGUAUUCUUGUUUUCAUGGAUGUCUACUAGAAAAUUACUGAUAUUUUUUUCAUAGAAAACUUGUCACAAUAAAAUGUAUAUUGUGAAUUAUUAAAGAACAAAUGCUGUCAUUUAACUUUUUAAGUAUAUUUCAGCAUCCUUCCAUUGCUAUUUCAUGUUUCUCAUCUCUUUCAACUUUGGUCUCUUCUAUUUUAGUCUUUAUAUGUUCAAUUUACAAACUCAACUCUACUUCUGCAUACCAUUUUUGUUUCUUUUAAUCAAAAGUGUUUAUUUUAUUUUGAUGUCUAAUCACAUUUUAAAAAUUAACCAUGUUACCCGCUCUCGGAUAUGUGACUAACAAUUUUUAUUUUCUAGAUUAUAAAAUUCGGAACCCUCUUGGUUGCAAAGCUUACUUUUCAAAACUCAGAAACAAAGUCAGACUUAGUUGGAAAACAUCAUCUCUCUAACCAAUUUUUUUGGUUAAAAAACUAACGGACAUGGGAAAAUUCGUUCAUCUUUAUUUGUUUGUUGCUAUAUAAUUUGACACACUAAGCCUAAUUGAAAUCAGUCUGUGAAAAUUCUUGAAUAUCCUAAACCAUAUCCUAUAUUAUCAACAUCUUGAUAAUGGUCAUCUAAAAAAGUACAGAUAUAUAUGUCUAUGUACAUAAGUAUAUAAAAAUUGAGAUCAGAAAUCAUAUUAAUUUUAAUGGGCAGGGCUGCAUUUAUCAUUAUAUGUACGACUUUUGGGGGGAGUUAUCCUUUUGUGUUUUUAAAUAGCUCUGUUCUCGAAUCUUAAAAAGAAAUUUGCCAACACAUAUCCUUUUUCCUGUUCUCAAAGUCAAACACACUACAUUGUAUGUGAGUGUAUAUAGACAGAAUGCAUUGAGGCCCUCUCAUGAACCAUAUUGUUUACACUUUUCCAAUGAGAAUUGGGAUAGAUUUUGUGGUGGUGGCAGUGGCGGCGACCACCGUGCUUCAUGCAGGGGAGGCGUUGGAGAUCUUCAUCGGCGGUACCAGUGGUUGGCUGCGUCCUGACGAUCCCAGCUGGUAUUCCAAUUGGGAGGAUCUAAAGUUUACAGUCGGAGAUGUUCUAGGUUCGAUUUGUCUAACAAGUAGAUACAAAUAGUGUAUUCUGGCCCAUCGUUGUGUUAUCAUUAGUAGAACAUGAUAUUUGAUUGUAUUUAUAAAUAUUUUAACAAAUUGUAACAUCUAACUAUGACAAGAAAGAAUUUUUAGUUUAAUGUUUGUUUUUGUUAUGGUUGCAGUAUUCAACUUUCUGACGGGUCACAAUGUGGCCGGAGUGACAAAAGACGGUUACGACAACUGUGACACCAAUAACCCCAAAUUCAUAAACACCACAUCUCCAUUUUUGUUCACUAUCAAGACUCUCGACGAUCUCUUUUUCAUCUGUACCGUCCCAGGCCACUGCUCCGCCGGUCAGAAAAUUACCAUCACUAACAUCCAACAAUCGUCAUCAACACCGAGCUCCCCUGAUUCUCCACCUGUUGUUACUGCUCCAUCGCCACCAAACUCCGUCGCCAGUAUUAUGGCCUCCACAUUCACUGUUGCCUUCAUGUUGAUGGAUGUCAUGUUAAUAAUAUAUUAAUUAUAACUCAUUAGUGUUUGGUAUUAAAAACAUGAUUUGCUUAAUUAGCGCAAAAAGUUGACGAGGUUCUGUCAACGACGCUAUUUAUUCAGUAUUGUAUUGAGAUUUUAUUUUUAAUAUCAAAGUUAUUCAACGACGCUAUUUAUUCAGUUUGUUGAAUGGUGUACAUAUUUCGUUGUUUCUUUUAGUGUUGCUUACAUUCCAACAAGAUUUAGAAGCCAAAAAAAUAUAUUUGGAUUGAUUUUACUAUAAGUUUCUUUUGGUUGGAUGGUAAUAUAGCUCAAUGAAUUUGAAUCUCUAAUUUUUGUGUUACAAGUUUUUUUUUGUGUUACACGUUUAGUCAAUUAAUUGAUAUCAAAGGAGUAAAAGUAAAUUUUAAAAUCCUUUGAAGAUCUCUAUUUCAUAGAUCCGCCUCUAUCUAUCUCUUCUAAUUUAUUUAAGUUUGAUUUAAAUUCUGCUUUAAAAUCUUAAUUUGUUCUAUUAAAUCCUUUGUGUUCUGUUGAACAAGUUUGGUAUUUGUUAUGUAGAGAUUAGCAAGUAUAUAUUUGUUAUGUGGAAAUUUGAAGAAAUUGAUUUUGUUAAUUACAUGGAAAUUUGCUAGUAUAUAUAUAGUUCAAUAAUUAAGACGUCGAUUAUAGUUGAUGAAGUUUAAUACGUACCACAUAUUUGUUGAACGACCCAAAACAAAUAACUUAAGAUUAAGAGAAAAAAACAAAGAUAGUAAUAUAGCUUAAACUUGAUUGAUGUAUAAAAAGUAUAAAUAUCGUUAUCUUUCAAACGUUAAAAUAGAACAUUCAAAGUUGCAUUGAGCCAAACUAAUUUUGAAGUAGUUUCAAAACUUUGCUUGCAUAAAUUUGUGUAUAGAAAGUGUUCUUUUUUUGUUUUUUUUUCCAACUAUGUAUAGACACUUAGAAAUAUUGCUCUAAUCCUCCUGUAAUUUGUUCGAUAUAAUGAUUUCUUAAUGAAAAAAAUUAAAUACUGUGUGGUCUAUCUGUAAAGCUUUACACGGUCUCUAGCUUUAUAUGGACACUUAGAAAUCUUUUUUGAGUGAAGAAAUAGAGAGAUUGAAGUAUUUAGAUGAGAUGUUAGAUAUGCAAGUUCAUGCUUAGAUAGAGACUACAAAGUUUCCCUUUCUUUUUUUCUUUUUAAUUUUGAUUAUUGAGAGUACUUCAAGUUUUUCAUCAAUAAGAGUACAUAUAGACUUGCAUCGAUCAAGUCAAACCUUUUAAGAUGUAUCAUACAAGACAAUAUAAGUAAUAUAAGUAUUGGCGAGUUCUUGAGCAUUUAUUAAUAGAAAACUGAUAUUUUAUACGUGCUAAAGAUCAAGAUAUCCAUAGUUUAAAUCUUUUCAACUCCAUUUUUGCUAACUUUCAAUAAUCAAACUUAUUUAUCUUGUAGGUCUUUAACGAUGAACAAGGAUUGAAUCAAACUUAGAAAUAAAUUAUCAAUUGAGUAUAGAGGAGUGUCCUAAUUUUUAGAGUUUGCAAAACUUCAAGUUGAUAAUUCCGGACGAACAAGAUGUCCAUGCAAAAAAUGUAUGAACUCAAUAUGGGAGUCAUUAGAAAGUGUGGAGCGACAUCUGCUAAUUGUUGGAAUAUACCCCUUGUAUGUGAAUUGGGUAUAUCGUGGAGAGCAAGUCAACUUACCAAAAGGUUUAGAAAGAGUUUCAACUCAUUUGCAUCAUAAUGAUGAAGGAACUAGCAACCUUUAUGAACAAGGUGAAAUGUUGGAUUUUCUUGAUGAUUUACAAGUUCGAUUGAAAAUGAAGAAGAAACAGAAGAAGAAUUUGAGAAUGAAAUUUCCUUUAACGGUGAUCAACGUGAUACAACAAACUUAUUUGAGGUACCUUGGUUGUUCAAAAUUUUCUUCCUUGAACUUUUUAGUUAAGUUGAUGCAUAUCAAAGUUAUCAACAGUUGGAGUAACAAAUCUUUUGACAUGUUACUAGCUAGAACUAUUAAAAGCAGUGUUUCCACGAGGUACCAUUAUACCUACUUCAUUUUAUGAAGCUAAAUGGAAAUUACAUGAUUUAGGCUUAGGAUAUAAGUCUAUUCAUGCGUGUAAGUACGAUUGUAUAUUGUAUAUAUUGGAGGAAAUUUAGAGAUUUGCAACAUUGCCCGGUUUGUGGCGAGUCUCGGUACAAAGUUAAUAAUGACAAAAUAAAAAAAAUCUGCAUAAGGUAUUGCACCACUUUCCAUUAAUACGGAGAUUAAAGAGAUUGUUUGCAUCCCAAGAAGGCGCUUUGAAAUGAGAUGGCAUAAAGAUAAACGAGUCUAAAUGGAGGAUGUGUUAAGACAUCCAGCUGAUGUAGAAGGCUGGAAACAUUUUGAUUGUGAAUUUUCCGAUUUUGCUUUAGAUUCACGAAAUGUUCGUUUGAGGUUAGCUUUAGAUGGGUUUAAUCCAUUUGGGAAUAUGAGUACAUCCUACAACAUGUGGCCUGUGAUGAUAAUCCCUUACAAUUUGCGACCUUGGAAAUGCAUGAAAGAGUCUAAUUUUUUCAUGUCUUUGCUCAUACCCGGUCCAAGAUCUUCUAGUAAGAAAAUUGAUGUUUACCUACAACCGUUGAUUGAGGAAUUGAAACAGUUAUGAACUAUUGGUGUGCGUACUUAUGAUUCUCUUACUGGUGAGUUCUUUCAAUUAUAUCCAACGUUAUUAUGAACCAUUGAUGACUUUCCUGCAUAUGGUGACUUACUUGGGUGGAGUACAAAAGACUAUCAGGCGGGUCCCAUAUGCAUGGAACAUAAAUUAUCAUUCGGGAUAAGAGGAAAAAUAUCUUUCAUGGGACACUGUCGUUAUCUUUCAGAAAAUCAUAUUUGACGUAUAAGUAAAAACCAUGAUGGAAAGGUAGAGCGUAGGCCUCCUCCAGUUGCAAUGAACGGAGAUGAUAUCUUACAACAAUUAGAUUCAUUGAAUUUUCCAGUUUUGAGUAAACAUCCAUUGAAGCAAGACAAGAAAAGAAAGAGAGCUCUCAAUUGGACUAAGAAAAGUAUCUUUUUCGAAUUUUCUUACUGGUCCAGACUACUAUUAUGUCAUAAACUGGAAGUAAUGCAUAUUGAAAAAAAUGUUUGUGACAACUUGGUUGGCACAUUGUUGAAUAUUGAAGAAAAAACGAAAGAUAUCAUAAAUGCUCGGUUAGACCUACAAGAUUUGAAAAUAAGAAAGGAUUUACACUUGAGAGAAGUUGGUAACAAAUUUGUAAAGCCACAUGCGACGUAUACGUUGACUAAUAGUGAACGAAUUGCGUUUUGCAAGUUUAUGAAAUCAGUUAAGUUUCCUGAUGGAUUCAUUUCUAAUAUUUCACGAUGUGUGAAUGAUAAAGAUGGGAAAAUAUCAGAUCUUAAAACACACGACUGUCAUGUUUUGCUACACCAACUUCUCCCUAUUGGUGUUCGAGCAUAUCUACCGAAAAGUGUGUCCAUUGUUGUUACUGAAUUGUGUGGAUUUUUUCGUGACUUGUGUGCAAAAAUGAUACACAUAAGUGAUUUGAACCGAUUACAAUCAGAUAUCAUAAUCAUACUUUGUAAAUUGGAGAGAAUAUUUCCAUCUACCUUCUUUGAUGUAAUGAUACACCUUGCUCUUUACCUACCAUAUGAAAUCAAAGUUGUUGGUUCGGUUAGUUACAGUUCGAUGUAUCCCAUUGAAAAAAGUUUAGAAAUGUUAAAAAAUUUGUACAUAACAAAACAGUCCUAAGAGGUCUAUUGCAGAAGCAUAUGUGAUGAAUGAAUCAGAGAAUUUUUGUUUGCGAUAUCUAAGUGGGAUUGAAACACGAUCCAAUAGAGAUGGUCAAAAUGAUGAUAACAUUCUCGAUUAUGAGGUAUUUGGUGAAUUUGAAGUGUUUAGGCAGAGAGUACGACCAUUAGGGCCAUCAACUUUACAAAAUCUUUCACCAAAAGAAAAACAACAGGCACAUUAGUACAUCCUUAACAGUUGUAAAGAAAUAACGAAUUAUCGCAGGUACGUAUUUCAAACUUUAUAUUUUACUCACUAUUUUAGGACUUUGCAAUUGUCUUCAUACAACAUUACAAUUAUUAACUUUAGGCAACACAUGAGGUUGAUAUGUCCUCAAGUUCAAAGCUCUUCUGAUUUCCGUAUAAGACAUAAACAAGCAUUUUGUGAUUGGUUUAGAGCUCAAGUAUAUAUCGUAUAUGAAUUUGAGAAUUGAUAUAUCUUACUUUAGGAUUUAUAUUCAUGUAUAUCAAAUUUUAGGUUCUACAAAUGCGUGAAAGAGAAAACCUUUUUGAUGAUUUAUUCUCAGUUGCAAUGGGACCUUCAUCUGAGGUUCACUCUUACAGUGGAUGCAUUGUUAAUGGGGGUAUGAUUUCACAUGGUAGAGAGUGAUUCUCAACGCACUACACAGAAUAGUGGAUUUAUAUUUGUCAAUGAAAAUAGUGACAAGGGAAGUACUGACAAGAAUGUCUACGGUGUUUUAGAUGAAGUGUUGGAGUUUCAAUAUGUGUUUGGACGACGUGUUUGGGCAUUCAAGUGUAGAUGGUUUGACACGGAUAACAAAAAAGUAAUAGAAUACAGGUGGAAUUAGGAUACAAAUCAAUCAACACGUUGCAUUUUCGGUUUGUUUAUGAACAAUUCAUUCCCGCGACAGGGAUGUAACAAGUCUUUUAUCUCGCUGAUUCAAAAUAUGGUAGCAGUUGGAAAGCUGUUCAAGUGGCGUAAAAUAAAUGUAUAUGGAAUGUUUCUGAAGUGGAAGAUGUUGAAAAUGAACAGUUGGAUGCAUUGGAAAUUGUUGUUGGACAUCGUGUGGACGAACACAUUGAGGAUGAUAUUCUAUGUAGAGUUGGCAUUGAUCCUAUAGUGGUGGAAAGAUCAGUUGUUCGACAUCUUGUUGACGACUUCAUAAAUGAAGAUGAUGAAUCUCCUCAAAAAAGAUCAAGCGACAACGAAUCAUGACACUUUAGGUUAGUUUCGUGACUUAGAGAUGACACUUUAGGUGAAUUUCAUAAGUUUACAUGAGUUCACACUAAUACUUGUUUUUUUCUUAGAUGGCUCUAAACCCAUUUAUAAGACAUGUGACCACUCUCGAAACAUUGAGUUGGAGAAAUAUGUCCACAAACAUAGAAAAAUUCUAAUAUCCAUCACACCAAAAAUGUCAGAGAUGUAUGUCCAAUAAAUGGAAGAAAUGAAAAAAAAAAAAAAAACGAUUGAAGAAAUGACAUGAGCACAAAGAGGACCUGGUAAAUAGUUUUGAAAUUUCUAAUUAUCGAUAUUUUAUUGAGGAUAGAUAGAUUUAUUUCAAAUGAUUGGUUAUGGUUAUCUUGUAGUUAUGGGUAGUUUUUAGUUAAUUCUAGCUUUUGCAUUAUGAUGAUUGGUUCUAGCUAUCCUGGAGUUAUGGUAGUUUUUAGUUAAACUUAACUUUUGCAUUUGAAUGUGUGUUCUGACUAUCCUACAAUUAUGGUAGCCUUCAGCUGAACUUACUUUUUGCAUCCUUAAAGGUUGGGUUGUUAUGAGGUAGUUUGAUCAUGGAGUGAAGUUUUCGCGGGGGAGGGGACUUAAACGUCAAUUUGACACUUCACAAUGUAAUUGUUACGUUGGAUGACACACCAAAGUGAUUUUUUUAAGGAGUCAAGGUUUACCGAUACUAUUGUUGUUGCAUUUGUGGAAAGUGAAGUUGAGAGGUUGAGUUGUUAUGGGGUAGAGUUUGAUCAUGAAGUGAUUUUUUUUUUUUUUGGGGGGGGGAGUUGAAAUUAGUUUUUGCAUCCUUAGAGGUUAGGUUAUUAUGAGUUUGAUCACGAAAUGAAGUUUGGGGGGAGGGGGAGCUUAAAUGUCCGUUUGAAGAUCUCAAUGUCAUUGUUACCUUGGGUCAAAAUUAGUUUUUAUAUAAGGAGUAAAAAUAUUAUAUUGUUGUUGCAUUUGUACAAAAAAAUCAAAGUUGUUACAUUGGGUUAUUAUGGAGUAAGUUGUUGGAGUGAGUUUGUUGGGUUGUUAUGAGAUAGUUGGUUGGUCAUGGGAGUUAGUUUGAUCAUUGUUGUGAAUUUUUUUUGGUUUUUUACAUCCAUUUUGGUUAUUUGAAGUUUAAACAAUGUAUUUUACUUUAUUAUAGGUGUGUUAGUAGAUGACAUCUGGUGAGAUGAUAUUUUUUUUCUUUUUAUGUAUUUAUUAUUUAAAAUGAACAUCGUAAACAAACUCUCCCCUUUCUUUUAUAAAGUAUGUUCUAAAUUUUGUUAAUUAAACUUUGGUAUUUUAAUGUAAUUAAUUUUGUGAACUUUUUGUAGAAGGUUUUUAUUCAACUUAAAAGUCAAGCUUUCUGUUCUUUUGCUGGACAUAAUUCUAUUUGGUGGAAAAAGGUUUGGAAAUCGUCUCUCCCCUAAAACAUUACAAUCUUUUUUGGAGGGCUUUCAGGUUGAGGAGGUGUUUGUGUUGUGGAAGUGAUUUUGAGUCUAUUGUACAUGCUCUUUUCUUGUGUCAUCGUGCUCGCAAGAUGUGGAGAAAUAUCUUACCGUUGAUGGGUUGCAGAUUGGGGGCAAUAGCUUCGGCUUGCGACGUCUUUUUUGUGGAUGUUGCAAUAAGGUUACUGAUUUGGACUUCCUCCUCUUUGGGAUGAUUGGAAUAAGGUUAAUAAUUUGAUACGGAUUGCCCUUGUUGAUUACAAAAUUAAAUGGAUUCUCCACUAUAGAUAUGAGUUUUGAAUAGUUGAUGGAUUGGUCAUGUUGUUGUUACUUCCACUGGUGUGAGGGUGUGAGUUGAAUGGUUUGGCUAGGCUUUGGUGGAGGUCGCUGGAGUAUGGGUGACUUCAAAUAAAAUGUUGGUGUUGCCUGUUCCCUUUUCAAAGAUGGUCUCAGUAUGGGGUUGAUCGUAAGAAAUCAUGAUAAUGAUGUGGUCGAAGCUGGUGUUGUGUUCUGUAGGGGUGGUUAUAUGGCUGAAGCUGUACAGAUUCUUGCUUUGUUAUUUUAAUUAAUUUUUUGGCCACCUAAAGUUAGAGUUAAUGUGUAAUAUAUAAUUAUGGAUGUGUGGUGGAAGGUGGAGAUAAGGAGAUUGGAGUUAAACUAUGUAGGGAGAAAUUAUUGUAUAAUUAUUAUUAUAUUUAUGUAACCGUUGUGGUUGGUUAAUAUUUAAUUGAUCAAAAUAAUUAGUUUAUUGAAUAAUUGUGAUAAAAACAUUUGUUUGGUGGUCAUCGCCAUUAGCCUGUUCAUAUUUUUAAUUUCAAUUUGAAAUAAACGUAUCUUUUAAUUGACCCAAAAUUUCUCGUUUAGUAAAUGGUUUUUAACUUUUUUUUUUUUUAAUUUUUUUUAAAUUUUUAGAUAGUCUAAUUAAAUGGUUUCAAUUUACAAAAUAUUGAAUGCAACACAUAUUUUGGAUUUAUAAAAGAACCCAUAUUACAAUUAUUGAAACCCAAGUACCAUCUGGAUUGUGGACCAAAGAGAGUUCUAGGAAUUUACAUUAAAAGUUCGAAAGUCAUAAAACCACAAAUUUAAGUUAUACCGAUAAGAAACUUGACUACUCACCUUUUCUAUUCAAAGGGAAGCAUGUAUAAGUUAUUAUUAAAAGUCAAAUUUCAAUAUGCAUAUCUUAAUUGAUUAAAUCCCACACUCCCACUUCCUUGUACUUAAUAAAAGGUUAAAUUAUUAAAAAAACAUUGUCACUAAAUGUCAAAAAAAAAAACUUGGUCAAGUUUCAAAAGUACUGUUCAACUUAAAAAAUAUUUCAUCAACUUUCAAACGUUUAAAAAACACUUUUAAAUGAUAAAAAAAAAAAAAAAGUUAAGAAAUUCAGCACUUUGACUGUUGUAUGAGCAGAAACCAUUAAUAUUGACAAUUGUUCUACGUCUCUGUUUUUCAUCCCUCUCUCCUCCCUUCUGCUAUUAGUCAUUUUAUCCCUUUUUGUUAACUAUUUUGACACUUGCUUAUCUAAAAUAAAUGAAUAAAUCAAAUUCCACAUUUCAAUCAAGUGUGUAUGAAAUUAUGGUAAAAAUAAAUAUAAUAAAUAAAAUACCAAAUGACUUUAGGUUAAUUAAGAGUAAUAUUAUCUUAUUUGACCGUUAGAACUCAGCUUGACCAAAAUAUGUUUUUUUAAAAACGUUUAAGAACUAACGUAUAAACGUUUUUAAAAGUGAUAAAAAUUGAAUAAAAUAAAAAGUUUAGGUCUAAAAUAAUUUUUAAACCAUGAUUUAAGAUAAAAUAUUUCUUACGUCGGUAGUUUAGUAGUUGAAUAUAUGUUAAUAGGCAUUUUUUUUAUUUAACUAUUUAUGGUUUUGGUACGUUUUAAGUGAAAGAUUUUGAUUUUGGAAUUUCCUAAAAUUUGUGAUAUUUUAUGUUUUAACUUUUUUUUUUCUUUUGUUGUCAGACAAAAAUUUUGUAGACUAAGAAUUGGAAAAUUAAAAGAAAUAUGAGAGUGUUUAAUGAAAAAGAUCCAAAUAUAAUUUUAUUAACAGAGCAUUUUUAAAAGUAUUAAAAUAAAUAAAAAAAUUUACUAACUAUAACAAAAUUUUGGAUUCUAUUAAUUAUAAAAGUUGAUAGACUUUUAUUCUUGGCUAUCAAUGUCACUCGUAAGAGCAUAUCAGUGGCUAUCAAUUUCUAUUAUUAAUAGAAUCUCUAAAUAUUUUGUCAAAUUUGUUAUUUUUAAUAAUUCCUCUUUAUUAAUUUAUUUUGAAAAUUUUUAUUUCAAACUUAAAAAUUCAAACAAAUUAACCAUCAUAUUAUAAUGAUAGAAGCAUUUUUUUAAAACGAAAAAUUACAUCAAGUGACAAAAACAUUUAGAAAAAAACAGUUCAUGAUAUCUUUUUUUGCAUAUUGCGAAUAUGGCAAAGUUAGUGAUAUCAGACGGUAAUCAUAAGACUAUCAAAGGGUUAUCCGACGGUAAUCAUAGGAUUAUCGGAUUUUGAAUUUAUUACUUUUGCAAUUUAGAAAACGACUAUUCUAUUAUCAUUAAUUUUUUUUUUUGCUAUUUUUGGUCUGCUCAAAUAAUAGUGAUAGUAGAUGUAUUUUUGAAACAAAAUUUUAAUAGUUUCUUUCCAAAACUAAUAAUAUUUUUGAAUUCUUUGGUAAUUUUUAUUUGCAUUGUAAAGUUCAAACCAAUUUUUAUAAUUUAGUCUUUAUAAAAUAACUUGCUUCCUAUUUUGAAAUAGAGAAAAAUGAACCAAAUCAUUUACAAAGCAUUACAAAAUAUCACAAUCUAUCUAGAAUAGACGAUUAUACUUUAUACUUGUAAAUAUUUUUAUAUUUUUUUGUUAUUUAAGAUAAUAUUUCCAUAUAAACAACUUGAAAAUUUUACUUAAUAUUCCAAAAAAAUCAAGCCUAAAGAUCAAUCCUAGAUUGCAAAUAAUGUCAACUAAUUUAAAUAUAUGGUGUCUAGAAGUCGAACUUCUCCCUAUGCCAUAACUUGAAAACAUGUUUAUCUACGCAAUUAAAUGUUUAUACUUUAUAGCUUAAAUUUUCGUUAUUAAUGAGUUAAUAUAUAUAUCUUUCAAUGACCAAAUAAUUUUGUUGACCAAGACCUAAAGUUGUCAUUGUCAUUUGUAUGAAGGGUAGCAAUCAACCUGAUUAAGAUUAUUAUGAGUAUAAUUAAAUGUUAUAUAGUUCUUAAGAGAAAAUAAUAAUAACAUAAAUAUUGUUGAACAUAUAAAAUGGACACAUUCAGACGGCAAGAGAGACUUAUUCAAAAAAAAAAAAAACUAUUUAUAUCUGAAUUUAAUAAUAUUAUUAUUAUUAUUAAUUUUUUAAAAAUAUAAACUUAGGGUACGGUAUUUCAUCUUUUAAUUUUUAACGAUUUGAACAACAAAUCCUUCAUUCUUAAUACAAAUGUAUGUAUUUGGAUUGGGAUUGAACUUAAACUAUACCUACUUUUAUUAAUUGCCUAAAAUAAAAAAUAAUAACUUUUUAUUUUAUUCGUUAUCAAAGAAAAUUUUUGGUGUUUGUCUUUUUUUUUUUUUUUAAAAAAAAAUUCAAUUGACCAAGUAAUUAUAAAUUAUUAUAUUUGGAAGUUAGACCAGUUUUAUUUUUUAUUUUUACUAUCAUUAAUUUUUUGAAUGGAGAGCUUUAUUUUAUCCAGUCUUGUAAGCAACCCUUAUUUUAUUGCCAAAUGGUAUGGCUUUAAAAUAUAAUAUGUAAGUCUUUGGAAAAAUAUCAAUUACCCUUAAUUUGUGCAAGUUUGAAUUAAUUUGGAUUCUAAACUUUCUUUUUUAUUUAUCAAUUUAACCCAAUUUAUAUUUAACAUUUAGUUAAGCUUCACCUAAUUCACCUACUAGUUUUAACCUAACAUUCUUCAUCAACUUAUUAAUUUCAACAAGUUAAGUUUUCUACCCAAAUAGGUUUGGUAAAUGCACAAGUUAAGUAUUAGAUAAUACUUCUGAAAUUAGUAAUUUUUUUAAUAAAAAAACUCUAAUAUUAUUUUUUUGAAAAAAUUGUGAAUUUUAUAUUGUAGGUAUAAUUAAAUCCAUAAAGUUAUAUUGAGUGAGGGAUGAGAUAACAUAUGAAAUACACUAUCUAUCUUUGCUUAAUUCAGGCUCGUUUUGUAAUUUUACGAUUUGAUUUGAUUGUGUUAUAGGUUUUGAGCUAUACAAAGGUAGAUUGUGUAAUUGAUAUUGAUUUGAGGCUAAUUAUAUUCAAGCAAUUACGAGGUCAUAAGACAUCAAUCGAGACAUCCAGACUAGAAAAAGAAGUCUUUUGGCUUAUGCCUUGCAGCGCUGCGGCACCCCACAGUGCCCUAUGUGGUCUCGAUGUUGUAAGAUAGAAUGGUAACUAUCUGCAAAAAGAGUUUGGCGCUGUGACUCCCCAAAAUUUUUGCAUGUGAGUUUACUGGUUAACCUAUCUCAUAUUCCGUUGUUCUAAACUUAUUUUCUCUCUUUUUUCUUUUUCCAUUUGUUCUCUUUUAGUCCAACUUGGUUUUUAAAUACUUCCUCAUCAUUUGACCACCAUUUUCAGCUUGGAUUUUUAGUAUUUUUUUUCUUUUUGCUCCUUUGAAUUUACGAGAGUUUGAACUUGUUUGAUGUAAUCUUGGUUUCAAUUUUAUAGUUGAUUGGUAUUUUGUUAUAUGUUGGGAAGCAUGGAUAAUGUUUAACUUAGGCUUUACAUUGAAUCUUUAACUUGUGACAUUUUAAUAAGAUUUAGUUAGAAGCAAUAGAUUAUGUUAGCUUGUUAAUAUAUUUUGACGAGUAUUGUUCUAACCAACCUAGAACUAAACCUAAUGAAUAUCAAUUAGACACGCAUGAAAAUUAGGCAUUCUACCAAAAUAUCUCUUGAUCUUAAUGCUACUGAAAAAUUUGAUUAAGCAUGCUUAAUCGUAUUGGAUUAGAACAACAAAUACCUUUGAGAUAAUUUAAUUAUCUCAAGUAAUUAAAUUGGUUAGGUGAAGGUUUCAUAUAAAUAAGUGGUGAUACCUCAAUGAAUUAAUUUUUUUGGAUAGAGCUGGGAGAGAUCAUUAUAACCCAAGCUAGGUCUCUUUUUAUUGAUUCUUUACAAUUCUUCGUUCAUUUCAUGCAAUUUAGCUUUCUUGCGAUUGAAAUCAACUUCAAAACCCCACCUUUUUUUGUUCCCAUGCAUGGUUGGAAAUUAGUUUGAGUUUGAAGAAUUAGUGUGCUUGUUGAGUUCAACCCGGAUUUACCACCAAGACUAGUGCUUAGUGUGAAUUUGGUAAUUUAUUUAGCACGAAAUUGAGUGACAAAAUCCGUUUGUCAAAUUGGUGCCAUUGUCGGGGAGUGCUUAGAUUAUCUUUUUGAAAGAGUUUUCUAUCUUUAAUUUUAUUGUUCUUUAUCUUUCUUUUUCUUUAUCAAGAAGUUCCAUGUAGUGUGAGGAGCAAAUUGAACCUCAGAGCCUUCUCCUUUACCUUAAGGAGGAUGCAAAUCUUCCUAUUCUCCUUGCAGGAUCUAAGACCACGUGUGGACUCAGAUGAAGAAGCUUUUCCUUGGAAAAGUUUUUCCUGCUUCUUUUAGUUCCAACCGUGUGUAUAUAUAUUGAAAAAAAAAGAAGAGAAAACAAGGUACAUACACAUCCAAUAACACUCUCCUCAUAUUUAUAAUUCAAAAAAAAAAAAAAAAAAACAAUAAAUUAAGGAUAUUGUCUAUUUAAGCAUAAAUGAUAUGUCUUUAAUCCGUAAUUUUACUUUAGGUACCGCACUUAAUUAAAAUGAUCGUGUAUAUAGCAAUGAAGACAAUUGUCCACAUAUUUUUACACAUCAUUAUCUCCUAACUAAUGUAAAACUUUGUUUGUACUUCCAAACAAAUAGAUGUAUCUUAGACUAAUAUAUAUUUAAUCAUAAUCAUAAAUGAAACUGCUGAAUCGAGUCAAACUCUUGUCGUUAAAGUUGGUGACAAAGGGAAGAACGUGGUGCAAGAAAAUCAGCCACAACAACAAUCAACUUCUGUGGCUUCUCUCUCGGUUCAACUUACAAGAUAUGAUCACAAACUCCAUCAGAGCACAAUAUGGAGGCCCAUCUCAGACUUCUUUCAUGUACUCUAAACCAUACACCAAAAGAAUCGACAACUUGAGAAUGCCGCUUGGAUAUCAGCCUCCAAAAUUCCAGCAGUUUGACGGAAAGGGCAAUCCAAAACAGCACGUUGCUCACUUCGUCGAAACAUGUGAGAAUGCAGGAUCAAGAGGAGAUCAACUAGUCAGACAAUUUGUUCGAAGCUUGAAAGGAAAUGCUUUUGAAUGGUAUACUGAUCUGGAGCCAGAAAGCAUUGAGAGUUGGGAACAACUAGAAAAGGAGUUUCUCAAUCGCUUCUACAGCACCAGGCGUACUGUAAGCAUGAUGGAGCUUACAAAUACGAAACAAAGAAAGGGAGAACCAGUCAUCGACUACAUCAAUAGAUGGAGAGCUCUAAGUCUUGACUGUAAAGAUCGGCUCACCGAACUGUCGGCUGUAGAAAUGUGCACCCAAGGCAUGCACUGGGGACUCCUCUACAUUUUGCAGGGAAUAAAGCCCCGCACAUUUGAAGAAAUGGCAACUCGAGCUCAUGAUAUGGAGUUGAGCAUCGCCAGUAGAGGAACUAAAGAUUUUCUUGUUCCUGAAGUAAAGAAAGACAAGAAAGAGAUGAAGAGUGCUGAAAAGAUAGUGAAAAGCACAGCGAAAGAAUCUAUGGUCGUAAACACAACCCCGCUGAAAUUCUCCAAAGGAAAGGAAGCGAGGGUUGAAAAGAAGGAUGAUGAAAGCGAAAGGCGACGUCUGAAUUUAAAAGAAAGGCAGGAAAAAUUUUACCCAUUUCCUGAUUCAGAUAUCGCUGACAUGCUAGAGCAACUACUAGAGAAGCAGCUGAUCCAGCUGCCAGAAUGUAAACGACCUGAGCAAGCAGGAAAGGUAGAUGAUCCCAAUUACUGCAAGUAUCAUCGGGUCAUCAGUCAUCCAGUAGAGAAAUGCUUCGUGCUGAAGGAGCUAAUUCUAAGGUUGGCUCGUGAGAAAAGGAUUGAGCUAGAUUUGGAGGAAGUAGCUCAAACAAACCACGCUGAAGUGACGAUAAUGUCUGAGGCUUCUUCGUCGAGAUUGAUUUUUGAGCAAAGGAAAAGCUUGGUCCAGUUCGGGACCUUUGAGCCUAUAGUUGUCCAAUUCUUUCAGGAAAUCUCAUACGAGGAUCCUCAAGGAGAGAAAAGACCAAUUGAAGAAGACGAUGAAGGGUGGAUAGUGGUGACCCACCGAAAGAAAAGACAGUCGAUCCCGACCCAAAGAGAGUCUCGCUCUUACCAAAACUAUAGAAGAGGAAAUAAGACUCAAAAGAAUAAGAAAAAGAAGAAGACUCAUAAGCUUAAGCUCGUACAUAAUGAAGACAUGAAUUUCUCUCGACCUCAACGCUUAGUGACCUUGGCAGACUUCCUUCCAAAAAGCUUCCUUUGUGAUCAUCAGGAUGAAGACCCAGAAGUCGUUGCGUGUCAUGCUAUCAACACAACGGAGGAAGAAAUAAUCCCUCCAAGAUCACUAGAAGGAGAGGGAGUAUCAAAAGACCUUUCAAGGUUUAAUGUAGAGGAUCUAUUAUCACUUCCUCAAGAGACCAAAACCAUCCUUAUUGAUGCAUUGCUAAAUUCAAGAGCAUCAAGUUCGAGUACUCCGACUAUGACAUAUGAGAGUGGUUCUUAUUGUAUGUCUAUAGACUUCUCAGAUGAGGAUUUGUUGUUGGGAUCUAAACUUCAUAAUAGACCUUUGUAUGUUUCUGGAUACGUUCGAGAACAGAGAGUCGAUCGAAUCCUCAUUGAUAAUGGCUCAGCUGUCAACAUAAUGCCAAAGUCGACUAUGUGGCAAUUAGGCAUCUUGAUGGACGAGCUCUCAAAUAGCAAGCUAGUAAUUCAAGGUUUUAACCAAGGUAGCCAAAGAGCAAUAGGCAUGAUACGGUUAGAACUCAUAAUUGGCGACCUAAAGGCCAGUGCAUUGUUUCAUGUCAUAGACUCAAGGACUACUUACAAGUUGUUACUAGGGCGUCCUUGGAUUCAUGGAAACGGAGUAGUAACUUCAACACUGCAUCAGUGCUUCAAAUUUUAUCAGGACGGUGUAAAGAAGGUUGAAGCCGACUCUAAUCCAUUCUCAGAAGCUGAGUCUCACUUCGCAGAUGCAAAGUUUUAUUCAAAGAAUAAUAAUAUUUUAGAAGUUUUGCCUGCAGAAACCCCUCUUACAAAAGGAGAAGAUAAUUCACAACUGAAAUCACUCGCAACCACAGAACCACAUGAAAGUGCGAGAACCUUUAACUCUGGAAAGGGUGAAGCAUACACUAGCAGCACAAAGGGUAUGAUCUUGAAGGAUGAAAAUGCUGCAAACACACCAGUUUUGCGUUAUGUCCCUCUGUCAAGGCGCAAGAAAGGCGAAUCACCAUUCAUGGAGUCUCCAAAAGGUUUGAAAGUUGGUGACAUCGAAAUCAUAAAAGAAAGCUUCACUACACCACUAACUAAGAUAGCGAAGCAGGAGGUAAAGGUAGAUCUGGUGGAAGCAAACUUGCCCCAAAGGCGAACGAAAGACGGAUUCGACCCCAAGGCUUACAAAUUGAUGGCGAAAGCAGGUUAUGACUUCACAGCUCACACCGAGUUUAAAAGCUUGGAAAUUCAUGACCGACCUGAGCUCUCCUCAACUCAAAAGAAGCUUCUACGGGAAGGACAUUCUAUACCCGUGUCGAGAAAAGGACUCGGAUACAAGUCGCCAGAACCGAUCCGUAUAACUAAAAAGGGGAAGGAAAAAGUGGUUGACAUCAAUCAUAUAACUAUAGAGGAGGAUGACAAUACUGACGUAAAAGAAGGUGAUAAUCAGAGAAUCUCAGUAUUUGAUCGAAUUAGACCAUCUGUUGCACGUCCCGUAGUAUUUGAAAGGCUAAGCAUGACAGAGGCAGAAAGAGAAAGGCUCCAGUCAGUACCAAACCUUGAGAGACAUUCGGUCUUUCGAAGGCUAACUACGACUCCCAUAAAGGAAGAAAGCACAUGCCAUGCCUUGACAACUACAAGACCAUCAGCCUUUGAAAGGCUAGGUGUGUCUAAAAAGAAAAAUGUACAAGCACCCCGUGCUCCGAUUUUUAAUCAUCUCGGGGAUAAAGGAUCACACGACAACAUUGAUUCCAACAUAGAUACAAAGAAGAAGGAACCAAUGUCUCGUGUGAAAGUUUGGCGUCGAAUUAAGCAUACAGAUGUCGAGAAUUAUCGUAGUAAGAAGUUUCCUUGCGAGACAAAGGAAAAUGGAGAAAUUCAUAGCAACGUUCCUUCUCGCAUGAAAAGAAAAACUUUUGUUACUCUCAAUACAAGUCAAGGUUCGUUAAAGGUAAAAAGACAUGAUGUUAUACUAACGAAUCCUGAAAAAGAAGGGUCGGAACAAGGGGAAGGUGAAACUUCAUGUCAUCACAUCACCAUUAUUGAGGAAUCAGAGACUGGAACUCAUGAAGAAGAGACGCAGAAAAUGCCCCACAAAGUUUAGAGGAUGGUGGUCAAUCUACUGUAGACGAGCUAAAAGAGGUGAACCUUGGUACAAUAGAGGAACCACGUCCGACUUUCAUUAGUGCGUCCCUCUCUAACGAAGAGGUGGAUAAAUAUAUGAGUUUGCUCACCGAAUACAGGGACAUCUUUUGCGUGGUCGUACAAGGAGAUGCCAGGACUUGACCCAAAAGUAGCAGUCCAUCAUCUUGCAAUUAAACCCGGAUAUCGACCGAUUAAACAAGCACAACGACGUUUUCGACCGGAGCUUAUCCCUCAAAUCGAGGUGGAAGUCAACAAGUUGAUCGAAGCAGGAUUCAUUCGCGAGGUCAAAUAUCCAACGUGGAUAGCAAACAUUGUCCCUGUUAGAAAAAAAAAAAUGGACAACUUCGCGUUUGUGUAGACUUUCGCGAUCUGAAUAAUGCAUGCCCUAAAGAUGAUUUUCCCUUGCCCAUCACCGAAAUCAUGGUUGAUGCAACUACUGGACACGAGGCGUUGUCAUUUAUGGAUGGGUCGUCUGGAUAUAAUCAAAUACGGAUGGCCCUCUCAGAUGAAGAAAUGACAGCUUUCAGAACUCCAAAGGGAAUAUACUGUUACAAGGUGAUGCCCUUUGGAUUGAAAAAUGCCGGGCGCUACUUAUCAACGUGCCAUGCAGAAAGUGUUUGAUGAUAUGUUGCACAGGUAUGUUGAAUGUUAUGUUGAUGAUCUUGUAGUCAAAACAAAGAGACGACAAGACCAUUUGAAGGAUCUAAAAGUCGUGUUUGAUCGCUUCGCGAAAAUAUCAGCUAAGGAUGAACCCUCUCAAGUGUGCGUUUGGUGUAACUUCAGGAAAAUUUCUUGGCUUCAUUGUAAGGCAUCGAGGGAUCGAAAUAGACCAGUCCAAGAUUGAUGCCAUUCAGAAGAUGUCAAGACCUAAAAGUUUGCAUGACCUAAGAAGUCUCCAAGGACGAUUGGCUUACAUCCGAAGGUUCAUCUCUAACUUGGCUGGCGGUCGGUGUCAACCUUUUCAAAAGUUGAUGAGAAAAGGAGAAAAUUUUGGUGUGGGAUGAAGCUUGUCAGAACGCUUUUGAUAGGCAUAAAGAAAUACUUGCUUACUCCCCCAGUGCUGGGAGCUCCAGUACCUGACAAACCACCUAAUAUUGUACAUUGCUGCACAAAAGAAAGGUCCUUAGGAGCAUUACUGGCACAAGAAGAGGUAAAGGGAAAGGAGCGUUCUCUCUACUAUCUAAGCAGAACAUUAAUUGGGGCUGAAGUUAACUAUUCUCCUAUCGAAAAGAUGUGUCUUGCACUUUUCUUUGCCAUUGUGAUAAGUUUGAGGCAUUAUAUGCAGGCCUUCACGGUUCAUCUAGUGGCAAAAGCAGACCCUAUAAAGUAUGUUCUAUCCAGGCCAAUCAUCUCUGGACGCUUAGCCAAAUGGGCGGUUCUACUCCAACAAUAUGACAUUGUCUAUAUUCCCCAAAAGGCGAUAAAAGGACAAGCGCUAGCAGACUUUUUAGCAGACCACCCAAUUCCUUCGGAUUGGAAGUUAUGUGAUGACCUACCAGACGAUGAGGUUUUCUUCACAGAAGUUAUGGAACCUUGGACUAUGUACUUCGAUGGUGCAGCUCGAAGAAGUGGUGCGGGGGCAGGCAUUGUCCUCAUUUCUCCUGAGAAGCAUAUGUUGCCUUAUAGCUUUGCACUUUCCGAAUUGUGUUCAAACAAUGUGGCUGAAUAUCAGGCUUUGAUAAUUGGCCUUCAAAUAGCAUUAGAAAUCGGAGUGUCAUUCAUAGAGGUCUAUGGUGAUUCAAAAUUGAUAAUCAAUCAACUCUCGCUUCAAUAUGACGUGAAACAUGAAGACUUGAAGCCAUAUUUUGCUUAUGCUCGACAAUUGAUGGAAAAGUUUGAUAAUGUGAUGUUAGAACAUGUCCCUAGAGUAGAAAAUAAGAGAGCGGAUGCAUUGACAAAUUUAGCCACGGCCUUGACCAUGCCAGAUGAUGUAACUUUGAACAUACCACUUUGUCAACGAUGGAUUAUACCCCCAGUUAUGCCUGAAUGUUAGGAAGUGAACAUGACAACAUCCUAUUUGAUUGAUGAAGAAGAUUGGCGUCAACCCAUCAUAGAAUACACUAUCCAUUAAAAACAUGAUAUCUUGAACAUAGAAAGCUUCCAAAGGAUUCUCGUCAUAAAAUUGAGAUACGAAGAAGGGCAGCACACUUCAUUUAUUACAAGGGAACUUUAUAUCGCCGUUCUCUUGAAGGGCUCUUCCUUCGAUGUCUCGGAAAGGAAGAUUCGGUAAAAGCUCUAAAGGAAGUACAUGCAGGUGUUUGUGGAGCACAUCAAUCGGGACCAAAGCUUCAAUUCCAGCUAAGAAGAAUGGGCUACUACUGGCCUAAGAUGAUCCAAGAUUCAAUAGACUAUGUGAAGAAGUGUGAGCCUUGUCAAUACCAUGCAAACUUCAUACACCAACCUCCAGAACCUCUUCAUCCAACUGUGGCUUCUUGGCCUUUUGAGGCUUGGGGACUCGAUCUGGUUGGCCCCAUUACACCAAAAUCAUCAGCAGGACAUUCUUAUAUCCUAGCAGCAACAGACUAUUUUUCAAGGUGGGCUGAGGCCAUUUCCUUGAGAGAAGCCAAGAAGGAGAACGUGGCAGACUUUAUUCGAACACACAUCAUCUAUCGAUACGGUAUUCCACACCGAAUCGUGACAGAUAAUGGAAAGCAAUUCUCCAAUAGCAUGAUGGACAAGUUAUGUGAAAAAUUCAAAAUCAAGCAAUGUAAGUCAUCCAUGUACAACGUAGCUGCGAAUGGACUAGCAGAAGCAUUCAAUAAAACGUUGUGUAAUCUUUUAAAGAAAAUUGUCUCCAAGUCAAAGAGGGAUUGGGAAGAAAAGAUCGGUGAGGCAUUAUGGGCUUAUCGGACGACUCAUCGCAACCCUAUAGGGGUUGCACCAUAUUCGCUUGUUUACGGUGUGGAGGUUGUCCUUCCUCUCGAAAGGGAAAUUUCGUCACUAAGAAUGGUCGUACAAGAGGGAUUGACUACCGAAGAUAAUGUGAAGUUACGUCUUCAAGAAUUAGAAGCACUUGACGAAAAGCGAUUAGAGGCUCAACAAGCAUUGGAAUGUUAUCAAGCGAGAAUGUCCAAAGCUUUUGAUAAACACGUUAAACCUCGCUCCUUUCAAGUCGGUGAUCUAGUACUUGCCGUAAGAAGACCGAUCAUCACAACAAGGCAUACAGGAAAUAAGUUCACAUCUAAAUGGGAUGGACCCUACAUUGUUAAAGAAGUUUAUACAAAUGGUGCAUACAAGAUCGUUGAUCAAGACGGACUACGAAUUGGCCCAAUCAAUGGUAAAUUUCUUAAAAUAAUUUAUGCUUAAUUUUGUUAAGUAAAAAAAAAAAAAAAGUUGAACUACGUUAUGACUUGAUCCCUAUAUUAUAAAGAGUACGUAGGCAGCUUAAGGAAAACCUUAAGCCCAGUCCAACAAAAAAAAAUUGAACUACGUUAUGACUUGAUCCCUAUAUUAUAAAGGGUACGUAGGCAGCUUAAGGAAAACCUUAAGCCCAGUCCAGCAAAAAAAAAAGUUGAACUACGAUAUGACUUGAUCCAUAUAUUAUAAAAGGUAUGUAGGCAGCUUAAAGGAAACUUUAAGUUCAGUCCAGUAAAAAAAGAGGAAGAAAGACAAAUUACAUUUAAUAGAAAAUAUGAUGAGGGGUGGAACAAUGAAAGAAUAAUUUUUUUUAAUAUUAUUAUAAACUUCUAGCAAAAAAAAAAAAAAUUAAAAAGCUUCCAAAGGAUUGGCGUCAACCCAUCAUAGAGUAUCUUGAACAUAAAAAGCUUCCAAAGGAUUCUCGUCAUAAAAUUGAGAUACGAAGAAGGGCAGCACACUUCAUUUAUUACAAGGCAGCUUAAGGAAAACCUUAAGCCAAGUCCAGCAAAAAAAAAAAAGUUGAACUACGUUAUGACUUGAUCCCUAUAUUAUAAAGGGUACGUAGGCAGCUUAAGGAAAACCCUAAGCCCAGUCUAGCAAAAAAAAAAAAAGUUGAACUACGAUAUAACUUGAUCCCUAUAUUAUAAAGGGUAUAUUGGCAGCUUAAAGGAAACUUUAAGUUUAGUCCAGUAAAAAAAGGAAGAAAGACAAAUUACAUUUAAUAGAAAAUAUGAUGAGGGGUGGAACAAUGAAAGAAUAAUUUUUUUUAUUAUUAUUAUAAACUUCUAGCAAACAAAAAAAAAUUAAAAAGGCAUAAGUAGAUAAACAAGAGAAGGCAGAGAAUCAUGGAGUCCAUUUAAAGUUCUUCAGCUCCUCUAGUGUGCUUUCUAAAGAUUCACGAAGUGUUGAUAGCAUUUUAGCGUCAAUAUCUCCAACGAUCGGGGCACAUUCGAGUUGGUAAAUUUCCUCACAAGUCUUCGAAAUCUCAUGUUGCUUCUGCUUCAGCUCCAGGUCGUUCUUGAAAAUUAUGCCAGAAAGUUUAGCAGACUCAGCCCGCACCAUCUUUAGUUUUGCCUCUAGUUUAGCCUCCUUAGCGGACAGUCGUGUAAGACGACGUUUAGCAAUGUUGGUCUCUGCCAAUAUACGAUUCUCAUCAACUCGCAGAGUUCUUCAAAAAACCUUUUGCCUCCGUUAACUGAACAUCCUUAGUUGAUUGGAGUAGAAAUCAGGAAUGUAUUUGAUUAUGGUUCUCGACACCUUGGAAGUAACAAUUCACAAGCUCCCUCAAAACAAUAAGGUUGUCGCUGUCGCUAGUCGCAAUCGCAUCAAAGAUCUUAUGCAUUUCUGGUUCAAUACUACUCAGUCGUUCAAAAGGGGUACGAAUGAUCUUCUGUCGUAGGUUUUCCCAUAAGGUUAUGGCAGUCUGUCGUCGGAGGUUAGAAAUUAAGCUGUCAGCACAAAAAUGAGAAAUCUCAGAAGCUGCAAUAGGCUCUGUUCCUUCCACUUUUUGAGGAGGUCCCUUGAUCACAGGAGGACGAGCAGACACAAUAUUUGCGCCUAUAGGUUUCUUAGAGUUCCCAUUAUAAGAAAGUACAAUGUUACAGUCUUCUAGAUUCGACAUCGACUCUAGGGUAUCUUCGAUGUGUAGGUCAUGAUCACCUAAAGAAGACUGCAAAAUAAUAUUAACAACAAGAAAUAAGAGGAGUAAAGGAGAGAAAAUACAAUAAAUAAAUAAAUAAAAAGGGAGACGAAAAGAAACCAUGGGGGAAGGGACAUCGAAGAAUUGUGCAGCAUCAGGGACCCGAAUAGGAGACUCUUCAUCAUCGAUCGACUGUUUGUUGGGCUUCUUGGGUCUCUUCCAAUGGCGAUCAUCAUUGCUGCUUUGACUGUCCUCAAUACGUUUAGAAUGAUGCUUGGCAGCUAUCGAUAAGCGGUUGUCCUUACCCACAUUGUCAAUACCACCUUUAAUAAGAUGUUUAAAUCGUGUAGAAAGAGACAAAUUAUCCACCAAGCGUUUUGUCCCUCCCUCAAUUUUCUCCACAAGUCGUUCAUCAGUUUCAUCGGAGCAUAUCUUCUGAUUUCCACUACCAAAAUUAUUUUCAAUCUUUUUUGUGGUUUUGGAUUUGAUGUGAGGGGGAGUAGGACGAUCUAUCAAAUGUUGUACUCCUUCUUGGAGGUAAUCACCGUGUUUUGCAAGCCACCAGACCUUAUAAUGAGAGGUAACAUGUGUGUCUGGGUUAGGGGCAGACACUGGAAGAUAUACUUGGGAAAGCGUAUUCUCGCGAAUACAAAUCAUUCAACAAUAUCGUACGUUAAAAAAAUAAUUGGCUUAGGGAAUUUCUUCACCUAAGUCAUAUGGCACGUCUUGAUAAAAUCCAAAUUGUCGGCUAAAGCGACAAGGACUAUAAGGCUCAAUAACUGUGGAGGAUCCACAUUGCGAGGAUAGAAAACAAGAAGCGAAUGCUUAUGAAAAAUGAAGCAUUCCAACUAAUUAACUCUCCAUCAUCCGUUAAGAGUUCGUCCUUAUUCUUUGUUGGAAGACACGCAUGCCAUGACACAUACUUUCCCUUGUGGAUAUGUGUUCGAGCCUCAAGAUUAGUAUAAUAUUUGGCCCCACCUUCACCAGAAAAUUCAACCAUGCAAGGACCCCUAAGACUCCUAGGGGCUUUAUAAUGAGUGUUGAAGGUAAAGAGCAAGCCACCCAUGGACAUAGUGAAGAGGAAAACAGGCAUUUGAAUAACCAAGUGAUGAAGUAGAAUCAUGAACUUGGCGUAGGCCACUAUAACUAUUAGCUAAAACAGGGACGACAAGGCUAAAUGUGUAGCCUUCCGCCAUGAGGCUAGCAACCUUAAAAACCUCCAGACGAAGGGAAAGUUGCUUAUCAGGGAACACAAACACCACAUAGCCAACAAGAGAGAAAUGCCGCUAGAUAGGUUUUUGUCCCUAUGAUCAUCAGUGGCGCUUAAGUCAAGGAACACUUUGAGUUCAGCUUCAGACCAGUCAGGACGUCUGAUGGGAAUUCCAUCUGGAUUAUGAGUUGAGCGAAGGGCGAGAAGUCUUUUUUAGGCUUUCGAGGAGGCGGUUUCGAAUACUUUACCUCAGAUCGUGUAACCCAGAAAGAGAUCCAUUCACUUACAGUGAUUUGAGAGUGAUCCAUGCGUUGAGAAACAAUGCGGUAAUCAGGCUGCAAAUAAAUGCUCACAACUUCUUGGACAUACAUCAGGUGAUCCUAUUUAAGUCUUGGUGGCAAGGAAUGCUUUCUUCAUAAAAUCUACCUUUAAUCGGGAGUCCUCCUAGUAUCCAUAAGUCACAUAAGGAGAUGGACUUCUCACCAGCUGAGGUGUGAAGAGUGUUUGUUAAAGGACACCAUGCCUCGCAGAAAGCCCGAUCAAUGUCACUGUUGCGAUCAUAUGUAUAUAGGGAAGUCAUCACAGCAUUAAAUAAUUUGCUUGAGUACUGCCGUAUUUCUAGCAACAGCGAGCUCUAACCACUCCCAAUAAUGAGGAAGAUAGUAAAAUUCUAUAUGUACCUUGAGCACAUUUCCCCAACGAAUUUUUGGGUCGUUUAUAAUUCGACGACCCAACGUUGAUUCUGGAUCCUCAUUUGGAGGCUUGUUGUGAAUCGAAGACUCCAGAAACCAAGAUUUUAAAGAUGAAUUUGGAUUUACAAACCGUUCCUUGGACCAUUUAGGCAAAAAGAUAAAAUUGUCCUCAAGUAUUUGGGAGUCCAUAAUAUUCUCAAAUGUCCCCUCUCUCACAGGAAGAAUGAUCCAUUCCUCUAAAGAUUGAUCUACGUCCUUCAGGAUAAUUAAACACCUUUUGGUUGAGUCAAAAUACUCAGUGAAGUGCACCAUGAUGAAAAGUAGAGUUCCUGUAAAAUAAUAAUAAUAAUAAUAAUAAGAAGUAGAAAAACAAAAAAAAAAAACCAAAAAACAAAAGAAAAGAAAAAGAAAAAAAAAGAAAGAAAGAAGAAAAAAAAAAGGGUGGGGAAGAAAAAGCAAAUGAAGAUUGAAGCCUAACGAUGACAGAGUCGAUCUCUCCUACUAGGGCGAUAGAUCUGACGGCAGAAGCCUGAUCGUCCCUAGAAGAAGCUCAACAAAGUCAUUUAUGCAAACAAAGAUUGAAGCUCGACGAUGACAGAGUCGAUCUCUCCUACUAGGGCGAUAGAUCUGACGGCAAAAGCCCGAUCGUCCCUAGAAAAAGCUCAACAAAGUCAUUUCUGCAAACGAAGAUCGAAGCCCGACGAUGACAGAGUCGAUCUCAACUACUAGGGUGAUAGAUCUGAUGGCAAAAUCCCGAUCGUUCCUAGAAGAAGCUCAACAAAGUCAUUUUUGCAAACGAAGAUCGAAGCCCGACGAUGACAGAGUCGAUCUCUCCUACUAGGGCGAUAGAUCUGACGGCAAUAGCUUGAUCGUCCCUAGAAGAAGUUCAACAAAGUCAUUUCUGCAAACGAAGAUUGAAGUCUGACGAUGACAAAGUCCGAUCUCUCCUACUAGGGCGGUAGAUCUGACGGCAAAAGUCCGAUUGUCUCUAGAAGAAGCUCGACAAAGUCAUUCCUGCAAAAAAAAAAAAAAAAAAAACAAAACAAAAACAAAAAAAACAAAACAACACACAAAAAAAAACAAAACAAAAUAAAAAAACACACACAAAAAAAAGAGAAAAAAGAGAAAGGGAGAAGAAAAGUUUUCUAUACCUUUCUGCUUAUUGGAUGAGGAAUAAGCGUUGGAUGAGGUAUAAGUGAGUAGGUAUGAGUCUAUUUAUAAGUCCAACAAAUUCAAUUCCUAAAAGGAUUAGGAAUGAUAUUUAAUUAUUUUUUUAAAACAAAUCCAAUUCCUAAAAGGAAUAGGAAUGAUUUUAAAUAUAUAUAUAUAAAGAAAAGAUAAUCCAAUUAUCUUAUUUUAUUUUAAAUUAUUUCAUUUUUUUCUCGAUAAAUCUCAAGUUUAACUUUUAUUGAGAUAUUUAAAAUAUUUAAAAAUUUCAACAUUUUUUUUAAAAAAAAAAAUAUAUAUAUAGAUAAAUAUUCUCAAUUUCAAAAUUCAAGUUAAAUUAACUUGCAUAUAUGACCUCUUUUUUAUCAUGAAUUUAAAUCGGAGCCAUAAAUCCAACUUUAUUUAAGAUUGAGGACCUGAUUUUUUUAUCUCAAAUUAAAAUUGGUCAUUCCAAAUUCUUAUGCAUCCCAAGAUAAAUUAAGGUACGGUAGAAACAUUAUCCUUAUUUCAAAAUUAAAAUUUUGGUUAUAUUCCAAAUUUUACUUAAAAAAAAAUCAUCAUAUUAAAUUUUUUUAUCCUCAAAUAAAAUUAAGUUGAGAAUAAAACUUUGAAUUUUUUAAGGUUUGACCAUAUUACAACCCUUAUUUUAAAUUUAAAUCAAACUCACGUACUAAAUUCAUAGUUUGAUUAAUUUGAUAUGUUGAAUUGAGUAAAAAAAAAAAGAAGCUCGUACUUUGACUUCAAAUUUAUCUUUUCCGAGAUUCAUUCACCCAUAUACGUGCAUAAAUCUCGAAAAGGGGCAUUUGUUGAAUAAGAAAUUUUGAGACCAAUCACAAGUUGCCACAUCAUUUAUUAAGUUAAUGAUGAAAAGUACAAAUAAUUAAAUUUGGGACUAAUUAAAAUUGACAUAUGCUCCAAACUAAUGAGUUAAAAAUAAAUAAAUUGGUCAUUCUAAUAAUGCCACAUAUUUUUCAUAUUAAUCGUUGGAUUAAGUUAAUCAUUUUUAGUUCAAUUAAAUAUUAUUUACUUGGACUAAGUUCAAUUAAGCCCAAAAAUAAACUUAAUUGAGCCCAAAGACUAAAUAUAACCUAAGUCCAUAUGGUUGAACGCAUGGGGUCUGGUCCAUGGACCAACCAGGUUCAAACCCAUAAAGCCCACCAGUGAACUCUAUAAAUAGAGAAAUUCUCCUCAUUUGUAGGGGUUGGCGAAAAUUUUGAUCGAGAGAGAAUUCUUCCAAGAGCCUAGAAGACUCCCUAACUCCUGAAGUCGACCAUCCUCGAAGAUUGAAGUUUCUUUAAAGAUACAAGCUUUCUUUCAAGGCUCCAACUUCAAGAACAUCACGUGCUUCGCUUCCUCCAAAUCAAGCUAAAGCAUCUAGUUGAGAGAGAAUUAGAGGAUCAAAUUCUAGAGAUUGAACCGCAUCGCAUCAAAUCAACAAAAAUACAACAUCAACCCAAGUUCAAGUCCACGAAUUAAAUUUCUCCGGAAAUCUCGUGCGAACAAGAUGUAUCUUAGACAAAUAUAUAUUUAAUCAUAAUUAUAAUAGCUAGUAGGUUCAAUUUCAUAAGUACGACUUUUUAAUUAGCAAUGUUUUUUCUAAAAUAAAUUGCAACAUGUGUGUUCUCCAAUUAAAAAAAGAAGAAAAAAAAAAAAAAAAGACUAGUAAACACAUCCUUUCUCUUGUUCUCAAACCCAACAUUACAUUAUAUAUAUAGAAUCCAUAUCAAGGCCCUCAAGAGCUUAUAUUGUUUACGUUUUAAACAUAAACAAUGAGAAUUGUUGGGAUUGUUUUUGUGGUGGCGCUGGUGGCGACCACCGUGCUUCAAGCAGCGGAGGCGGUGGUGAUUCCGGUCGGGGGUGACAGUGGCUGGAUACGUCCUCCUAAUUCUGACUUCUAUUCCUCUUGGGCCGCGGGUCUAAAGUUUACCGUCGGAGAUAUUUUAGGUUUGGUUCCAUAUAUAUAUAUACACUAAUUCUCUGCUGUUUAAUUCUUUAUUUUCGUUACUGAGGCGUGCUAAUUCGAUUGAUAUAAUAUGUUUAUUAUUAAUUACAUGAAGUUUAAUAUAUCAUUUUCAUCUUUACUAUAAUUUUGCUUUUUACCUAUAUAUUUGCGUGGUCUCUGUCACUCACAUGUGUACUUGAAUAGCAAGAAGAUACAAAACAUUAGAUAAUAUUAAACUGAUUAGUAUAAUAUGGACUUAUUUAAUACUAUACAACAUAAUUUAAUCUCUCAAAUUACAAACUAAAAAGUAAAUUAAUUAAUAGUAAUAUUGGCCUAAAUGAUUAACUUCUUUAAUUUUCUUAAAAUUUCAAAUACUGCUAGAACUGAAACAAAUAUCCUCAAAGUUUUUUUGUCUUAUUUUUUUAUUACAACUACUCUGUAUAAAAAUGUUUAGGUCAAUAAUUGUUAAUUAUUCAUUCUUAAAAUUUGGUGGUUGAAUUUUCAAACUUCAACGAGGUGAAAGUUUUUUUCAAAAUUACACUCAAGUAAAAAUUGUUUAUAGUAAUUAAUUUUGACAAAUAAUAAAUAAAAAAAUAGUAAUUCAAGUUCAAGUUUUGAGUCGUUGUUGUUUCUAUUUCGGUUGCAGUGUUCAACUUUAUGGCGGGAGCUCACGACGUGGCCGGAGUGACAAAAGAAGGUUACGACAACUGCAUCACAACCGAUCCUAUAUUCUUAAACACUACAUCCCCUUUUUCUUUCACUCUCGAUAAACUUGACGAUUACUUUUUCAUCUGCACCAUCCCCGGCCACUGCUCCGCCGGCCAGAAAUUGGCCAUCACCAACCUCCAACAAUCGCCCCCACCUACCUCUCCCAGUACUCCUCCCGUUCCCGGUAACGAGCCAACACCAACACCACCUGCCUCCCCUGAUUCUCCACCCAUUUCGAAUGAAAUGCCACCGCCCGUCCCAGUUAUUGCUGCUCCGCCGCCACCAAACUCCGCCACCAGUAUUGUGGGCUCUAUAUUCACUGUUGCCUUCGUCUCCAUCGCUGUCAGCUUCAUAAUA
rnacentral:lncRNA from 1 species